UUUUUUUUUUUUUUUUUUUUUUGUAAAAUGAAAGUUUAGGUGGGUUCGAUUCCUAUCACCACCACAAAUCAAAGCUUGUCCAUAGGAUCAUAGGCUAUUUACAAGGAUUUUUAUAGAUUAUUCAUCAACACAACUCUCAUAUCAAUAACGGAAUUCAAACACACAACAUUUUUAUAAAAAAAUGGUUCAUCUUUAUCAAUUGAAUUAAACUUGUGUAAGCGGAGAAACUAAAGUUUUGUAACUCCAACUUAAGGCACCAUGAAGCAAAAAACCAUAGCAAUUAGUAAUGCAGCUUCUAAAGGAACUAAUAUUUAUUUCAGGCAUUUAAUAAAAUUUGCAUCGCACAUGUAGAAAACUACGUUGCUUAGGCCAAAUUAUCAUAUUAGGGUUGAAAGAUUAACCAAAUUACUAGAUACUUAAAUCGAGUUCAACUUGAUAAAAGUUCAUUUGAACUUGAUUCGCCGACUUAUCAGAUCAAAUUUGAAUAGUAUUUUAUGUUCGAUAUCUUUGAAAUUCGAUAAAAUGUUCGUUCAAGUUCAGUUCGAUAAAUAAACAAGUCAAAUUUGAAUAAAAUUUUAAAUUCAUUAAAAUUAAUAAUCAAAUAAAUUUAAAUACUAAGGUGCUCAACUUGAUUACGUCCGUUACGCCCCUACAUGUUACCUGUUGUUUGCAACCAAACAGCUCCAACAAAAAUGGGCUUCUUCAACCCCCUUUUGCAAUAAAAAAAUUUUAAUCUCUUCCCUAAAAUGUAAUGUCGUGUUUCAAUGGUAGCAACCCGAAUUACUAACUUCCAACAAAUAAAAGAUGACUAACCUGUGAGUUCAUUAAUCAAAGAGCUCCCAUAGUACAUAAGUGGACCAAGGAGCUGAUUUGAUUUAAUAUCCACCCUACAUGAUAAUUGAUGUAGCCGUAUCACUCGCAAAGUUCGGCGGGCACUUUGCAGCAAAUCAAUUGGCUGCUCUAAAUCUAAGGGUAGAAAAAAUUCGGACCGAAAGAAACCAAGUUGUGCAGGGACACAUCAACGAGGACAGGAGCAUCUAGGCGUGGCAAAGCACUAUUAGCCCGUGUUCAUCAUUCAUGACAACUUGCAGAUAAUCAAACCUUUUUAAUUCUCCAUCAGAAACUCAAUUUACACACAAAUUAUGUACAAAACCCUUCUUUUUUAAUUUAUUCUAGACGUAGAAUUCAAUAUAAUUGCUGAAAACUACUUGCACGAAGAAGGCGAAAAGCUAUUCAAGUUCAGCACUACUAUGUUGGUGCAAUCGCCAAGGGAUGCAGGUAGUUAGUAAGUGUCCUUUUCUACAUAUUUAUGGGUUUGUCUAGAACUUCACUUUCCUCCAAGUUACUUCAGCUUUAGGGAAGAAUAACAGAUGAACUUUCUAGGUAGUAGCAUUUUGCUAAAGCAUUGUUGCUCGAUUUAACAGAGCCAAUAUAUACAUACAUAUAUAUAUAUAUAUAUAUAUAUAAUUAGGGUGUCCACACCUUAUUACGAUUGAUCAGAAUAAUUGAAAAUGAAGGCAAAUCAUACUUACCAUCACCUCACAACCAUGUCAAAUGGUUGGUGAGAGAUUUGCCAGAUGCAAUGACUGCUUGACGAAGGGCAGAAAGCAGCACCCCUCCUGAGAAAACAGCCACAUAUCAUUAUUCUAAAUUUGUUUACAUGCGGUAAAUUGUACUCCUAAAAGGGUCUUAAAAAUUAAUGCCAACUAGAGAAUCAUAAAUAGAUCUGGUGAACUUUUUUUUUCUGAGAUGCUGAUUGUCAUGUUACCAAAAUAUAAAUUUUACUAUAAACUUUAGUAGUCACAUUAUAAGUUGCAAGUUUUAAGGGGAAAGUUAAGUACUUAUAGUACCUGGUAGCCUGUCUGUAUUUUACAUCUCUUGAUGUAUAUACAACUACCCAACAAAUUAUCCUUGUCUCAGGAUCCUACCCUCAACCAGGGGAAAUAGACAUGGAGAUUGUGGUCCUCACAUGCUCUUGCUCUCGUCUCCCACUCUUUCUCUUUUCACUUUCUUCACCCUCUGCUCUUCUGCUUUGUCGCUAGACCAUUUUCCCCCAGCUUACCUUUCUCAAAGGAAUGGAAGCAAGCAAAGCAGAAGGGAAGAGGAGCAUGAAACAGGUGGCGGCGGAGGAGGAUGGAGAUGAUGAUGAAGAUGUUGGGGAGGAGAGUAAGAAGAGAAGAGCAUUGACCCUCUCCGGAGAAAAGGCCACCGGCAUAUCAGGGCCAAUCCAACCUUCUUGUCAAGUUGAUGACUGCUCUGCUGAUAUGAAGGAUUCCAAGCCAUAUCAUCGUCGCCACAAGGUCUGUGAGCAUCACUCCAAGGCCCCAAUUGUCCUCGUUGCCGGAGUCAGGCAACGCUUCUGUCAGCAAUGCAGCAGGUUGGGAUACCUUCAUUUCCUCACAGAAAUGCUAGUUUACUUUCUGUCCAUCUUUAAGCGCUUUGCUCCUUGGUGAGGAAUUCCCACUCGGAUUAAUCUGUCUGUCUGAUUUUUGCAUACUUCUUUAGAGAUUCUGCUGUGUCAUUAUUACUCAACAUUAACCUGGGAACCAUUGAAACUGUUCAUUCAGUGGCAAAGAGUUAGAAAGCCUCGAUGAUUAUGAAGCACUGUUUCAUUUGAGAAACAAAGAACAAUCGAUCUGCAUAACUACACUUGGAUUUGACAUGCUCCGAAAUGAGCCAGAGUUUUGCAGAUUGUAGUUGAGCCAGAAAAAGACUUGGUUUACUUACACCCGGAUUCUUGCUCAUUUCAGUGACACCAGUACUCUUUGUAAUUAAAAUGAGCUAGAAUAUGACAACCAUAGCUUAGCUAUGAAACAAAAGAAAAAACAUUAAAUGCUAAAAUCAGAAAACUGGUGUCAUAAAAGCCUGCAUAAUAUUGAUUUGUCGCCCUCCGUGUCUAGAGAGUUCAAGCAUUUGUAUGAGCCUCUGUUUAGUGUGGUAUCAUGCUGUGUGCCAUAAGAAAAUUUAAAGCGAACCCACGAUUGCAGGCUCCGGAUUGAUUCAAACAACAAAAUCAUUUCACUUAGUUUGAACUCUAACAAGCUGACACUUGCAUUGUCCCUUAGGGGACACCGGAUAAAAUUGGAAUGAUACAGAGAAGAUUAGCAUGGCCCCCAUGCAAGGAUGACGCGCACAAAUCGAGCUUUAACUAAAAUAUAACCCUCCGAGUACAAUGCACAAAAUGAUGCAUAAUACAUGCUCUGGAAUUACCGAUAGUUGCAUUCAAAGGGACAACAGAAUGCACUAGCAUGGUAUCUUCGAGUAUCUUGAUUAAUCUUUCUUCAGUGCCUUUCAGUCCUUACUCAGAGGGAAACACUAGUUACGCGCAAAAAGUCAACUUUUUACUUCUCAAUUUGUGUCGAUUGAUUCAUAAAGCUGAGUGCGUUUCACUUUCUAUCUCAUGCAGAAACCUAGAAAUCAUCUGAUUCAUGAAGGAAGGUAUCCUCCCGCUUAUGCUAAACCUUUUACAUAUGUCUCUGUGUUGUCCUACAGGUUUCAUGAUUUAUCAGAGUUUGACGAAGCUAAGAGGAGUUGUCGCAGACGCCUGGCAGGCCACAAUGAACGUCGCCGCAAAAGCUCUUACGACUCCCGUGGAGAAGGGUAAAGCACAGUGAACGGUCACUCAACCGAAGACUGAAGACGAUACAACCGUUUUGACAAAUUGAAGAUCAUUACCCUCAUCAUUUGUAUGCUCUCUCUCUUCUGUCAAUCCCUGGACUGUUAGAUUAGUAGCGUUGACAAUAAGAUUUGUGUGCAUAAAUCCAAAAGUGUACUCUGGUUUCUCCUCGGAUACCAUGUUCUUCUGCAACUACUCUCAUGGAACAACUGUUGAUGAAAGAUCGACCUCAACAGCUCCGCCAGAAAGAAAGAAACCAGUUGCGGUUAAUACAUGUAAGCUACCAAAAGACCCAAGCAACGAGGACAGUAGCGUAUGUAAUCUAUCAGAAAUCUGGCCCAACUUGCAGAUCCUGGAUUGGUUCCCUUGCCGGCUUUUGAGCUCUUUAAAGAAACACACCAAAGCAAAGGCAACCCCUGCAGGCACUCCAAAAAUCUAUCCUAUGUUUCGUCCAAUGACAACAGAAGGCCUGCAUAAUGUAGGAAUCCUUUCAUUUUGCAGGUACAUAACCUGGCAAUUUAGUAAAAAUUUUGAGAUCAAAAUUGAUGCGAUCAAUUGGCAAAAAAACUGCAGCUCAAUAUACUGCCGCAUAAGAUUGCCAAACCAAUGACCUUAGAAAAUCGAUUGGAAAACAAGUGACAGCCUACAAAAUGGAUCUCGAAUUUGAUGGAAUCUCGUAUCCUUUCAUAACCUGCUUCACCGGGUGGUUGUUGAAGCACAUGUGAUUCAAAUUUCAGAAUCAUCCCCCAUAAUAUCGAAAUGAAAAGUUGCAACACUCCGAUAUCAGAAACAAACAAUUGAAAGUUCAAUUACUCCUCAGCCAGUAUUGACUUUGUUAUUUCCAAAUGUUAGUGCAGUAACAGAGGCAUAUGAACAAACAGUGUCAGAAUUCAAGUUCCUUUACAAUUUAAGCUUUUUAUAGAAUGAGUACAAAAAAAAAAAAAAAAUCAUCCAGAAGAUGUAAAAUUACAAGGUAUAAUUUCUUUGCAAGUAGUAUAACAUGAAAAAAAUGAUCAUGUAUGAUCCAGUGUCAAAGCAUGUACACAAUUGACAACUGAGUUUACUGAUGUAACAACAUCAUAAUACUCUUUGAAUAACUAGCAGUAGGAAAUCAAUGAAGUCAAUCAAGCAUUUCAGGUCAAAGAUAAACCAUUAGUACAACUGAAUUCUGUGAGGGACACGAUAAUGAUGAUCAUGCAGCAUUAGAUUCUCUAUUCCUAAGCUCACGAAACUCAGACCAACAAGCUUGAGAAAAGCUCUGUUCCAGACCAAUCAGCACAACAUUCUUCCAUCUCUCCAUGACAGAGAAUUAAAGUGCUUGAAGGAAAACAAUUGAGAAACUUAUGCCAGAAGCAUUUAUCAGCUGUGCAGUUUGUACAUGACAAGUGUAAUGCUGGUCAUCUCAGAAGAUUGGCAUAGAGCUUUCAGAUCUAAUAAUUAUUAUUAUUGGAACGAGGCCCAGUUGAACAACUCCCACAGUGAUGCCUACAAAGUUGAGUACAGGAAACCAAUACCCAGGUCUAAUCACGCUUGAUCCCCAGCAUUUUCACAGCUAGCUCCCAUGUGACAAUUGCAGCAGCAUUAGCAGGAAAUGCCCUUACCACAGUAGGACCCAGUCCCGCAUAGCAUCCUCUAAGCCCGGAUCUCCUGUAAAUCUACAAUGACGUAGCAAACAUAUGUAAAAAAUGCCCUUACUCUUUUAUUAGCCAAGCAAAAUUAACCAUGCCACCACAAGGCAGUGCAACUGAAGUUACAAAAGUCAUCUAUCUAUCGUAUAUUUAGACAAUCAAAUGCAAAUUUCCCACAUUAUUGAAUCACAUACUAAAAGUUCUAGAGAACAGCAAAACAUACCGAGGUUAAGACCUGAAAUGGAUUUCUUGUAGAGAUUUUAUCAGGGGUAGUCUGUAUAAUGGUUUUUGCAACAUCAAAAGGAAGGACAACACACCAGCACUGCAAAGAAUUAAGUGAGGAGAAACGGAUUUAGGAACAGGUUGAUUAUAGAGUGUCCAUAUACAAAAUGGGAAAGAAGCAAAAGAAAUUAUAUUUAAUCAUGUCAAAUAUAUUCAUCUGUCCCAAGGAAUACACAAAGUAGCAAAGUGAUUUAGAUACUUACUGCUAUACCACCAAGACCACCACUCAUUAUCCCGAUUCCCACAUCAAUCAAGUGGGUCUGAUGAGGGGAAGCAUCUUUCAGUUGCAAGUGCAUGUAGUAGCGAACAUAUUCAUAAGUGGUAAAGAAAGAUGCAUUACCCAACGAUUCUCUAAGCAAGGUUGUGUAUCCUCCCCGAAAAAUGCCUGUAGGCUGGAGAUUCAACAUGUCAGCUUGCAAGUAUAUUAGAUAACUUAACUAAAAACUGAGCAAGCAGUUUCUCACCCCCUCAGCUUUUACUGUUUUAAUGGCACAGUCAAGAGGACUAUUGUAUCUACUGGAAUAUGAGAUCAAGGAAUCUGUGCCUUGAACUUGCAUCCUACACUGGAGAAUCUCAAUGUCAACAAAAUUAUUGCACCAGGUUAAUGCAGCUAGUCAUAAUUAACUAUCUGAUUCACUUGCCUUCACAAGCUCCGUUGGACAGAGUAUAGAACUAAUAAUAGAUCCAGCAAAAGCUCCAGCAGGAAUAAUCGCCUGAGGCUGCGGCUUAUCACUAUGAAAUCCGCCCUUUCCAAUACAAACAAUGAGGUCAGAAGGAAACUUACAAUAAGCAGAUGAUGUGACAGGAGCUCAUAGCAUCUUUCUCAAACAAUCUUGAAGGUUUAUGCUCAAAAGGGGCAAAAACAAGAAUUUCAUCCAUUAUAGUCAAACAGACCUGCAGGAGCUGUUUUGUUUGAGAGUAAAUGCCAAAAGCAAGUGAACUUUCAAAAGCCAUUCCCAGAAAAGAAGACGUUGCACCUCGAUAGAGACCUUGAACCUAUCAAAUAAAAAUAAAUCAGUAAUCUGCAGGAAAAUACCAAGAAGAGAAAAGAAAAGAAGAAUUGGAGGCAACAAGCAUGGAACUAAGAUGCAUCCUUCGGACCUCACCUCCAAAAAGAAUAAAGGGACCUUACUUAGUACACUGAAAUAAGGUCAAAGUACAUUGUGCUUUAUGAGACUUCUUGUUCACGUUAGUUUGAUCCAUCUUCAUCAACUAAUGAACUUCAAACCUUUUAAAACACCAAAAUCUUAUUUCUUUCUGCCAUUUCAGUCAUCCAAUUUACCAGAGAUCCAAUUGUGGCUCAUAAAUUGCGAAGAGCCAUUUUCUCAAUUUAUAUUGAAUGAAGAAAUUCGAUCAGAAUUUUACCUGAAUGAAAUUGGUCGUAUUUUGUGUUGGCAUUUUUACAAAAAUUAAUCACUGAAAACCAAGAAAAACAUGUGGGGGAGAAGGAAAAGGUCGAUAUGAUAAUACAUUGAAACGAGUAUAUUGCACACCAGGAUGUGUUUCAACUAAGACAAGAAUAAACGACAGACAAGAACAGGAAUUGUUACUUAAAUGGUUGAUCAUCGUAAAACAGUAACAGACAUGUGGUAUAACAAAACCUAUAGUAAAGGUUACAAAAGAUGGCAAAAAAGAUUUUGAUCAAACCCAUUUUAUCAUUUUUUACAACAAGUGCAAGAAGUAAAGUUAAUACGUGAAGGAUGCAGUUUCACCUUUGAUCGCAAGCAGACAAAAUUCAAGGAUAGUUAUUCCUAGCCAAUUCAGAAGUAAUAAUUUCUUUAACUUGUUUUAUAGUGGGAUACAAAAUUUGAAAUAACUCAAGGUCCACAAGCACAGAGAGAGAGAGAGAGAGCAUCUGACAACAAUUUGGCUAUGUGAACAGCAUUUGAGGCCAAAAGGACAAAGACAUAAGAAAUUGUUUGAGUAAGCAAGUUGAAUUUUUUCAUUCAAAAUUGUUGAGAUUAUAUAACAUUGUUUACUCAUGCUGUUGAACAAAAAGAAACACAUUCCUAAUGACGAGAAAUCCAGCCUCUGGCUGAUCGUCUGGAAAUAACACAAAAACAAUUCAUACAGGCAAACAAGAUGCAGUCUGUCAUUGGUCCUCUGCCAAUACCUUCAUAGCCUAAAAGUGGACAGAUAACAUGUAUAUAAGCAGAAGAACCGAUGGACAAGGUUGGGGACAACGAUGGCUCAUCAGUUACAGUAGACAAUGCAUCACUUUCCAGAAAAACAUGAGAAAUUAAAUUAGGAAAACAAAGUUAAAAAUCUUAUUUUAUUUACUUAGACAUCAUGGUACUCUUAGUUAAUAAAUUAAUGAACUUCUUAAUGUUAUUACCAAUUAGUUCUUGGGACUAUCCAUUUAAAUCUCAUGCAUUAAACUUCAAUGGAAAUUCCCCUAAAGUAGACAUGUACAAUGGGAUUAUGUUCAUGUGUCUGUGCCACAUCCAAAAGCCAAAUGCCGACAAAGAAGUCAAAAUUUAGCUUUUCUUAGAUUACAGGACAAAUAUUGCUCAUAAAGUCAAGAGCAAUACAUUUGGCUGCUUCAUGAGGACAGACAUGGUGGCAGAUCAAAAAUAUCAAAUUUAGAUCACCUGGUUCACCUUUACCACCUUGUCAGAUCAUGACCAGACUAAGACUGGCCCUCUAUAAGUGGGGAUGUAAUUAAGUAGGAAAACACAAGUAGAUGCUACUUAAUUCUUUACACUCACAGGAAACACAAAGGUAAGGUUAGGUAAUAAAGAAGUAGAGAGGCAUCACACUUAAGUCUUAGUAUUCUAGAAGAACAUGCAAGCACAAGAGACACAAGGGCUAUCGUUGGAAUCCAAGCAGUAAAGAGGCAUACUCCUUCAGUCUUCAGUAUUCUAGCAGUACAAUGCAGGCCAUUCUUGUACUUUAUCCCGUUAGCUGCUGUAUUGUGCUUUUGGAGCUUGACCUGAUGAGCAAUGGACAGUCAUUGAGAAACAAGAGCACCAAAUAUAAUUCACCUGACUCAUCAACCCACUUCUGCAGUUGAUAAUUAACACUGUGAUUACUGAAACACCAUUCUUGUCUAAAAUAAUAAACAAAAAUCUUCCACUUCCAGAAACAAAUAAAUCUAACAUCAAUUCAUUCAUUCCAACCCAUAUGUCCAAGGACAACCCAAGUCCAAUAAAAAGAGGAUCUCAGAAAUCAAGAUGGUUGAAGGUGAAGCUUCUAGAUAUCUUAGACAAGAAAACAAAACACAAAUUAAGUCCCACAUUUUUGGCAUCAUAUCGAUGUACAUUACAGCUAUGGAGAAGAAUACUGAAUCAGAUGAGUGAAUUUCAAAUUGAAAAGCAGGUAUUUUAAAUGUCAACACGUUCUACCAGCUCUAACUAUCAUCAAUAGAUGAGGGGUGAAACUACUGGCUGGUCUUCUGAGGGAAACUAAGAAGUAAGUGAUGAACAAAGGAUGCGCAAAACAAACAGUGUGAAGAGAUGCAUAGUAGAAAUGAACACGUCAAGUCUACUUCUUUCUGACUGUGAGUACACAAGUUGAGGCUGUGGAUGAGUUCUUAACCAGGCUAUGUUUUAUUUACUUGCGUCAUCUACAGCCAAUUAUAUGACACUAGAAAAGCAGUGAUCCUGGUCCCACAAAAGGCAACAGAAAAACAAAGUUUGGAGAAGAGAACUUUUCAUGGUAUGACUUGGGUAUUUAUGCACAUACUUAUUUUUUCUGUUCAUUGUCUAAAAUCUUCUAUCUUAUGAGCACAGAUCAGCAGCACAAAAUUGGUGAAAUACGUAGCCAAAGAAAUCAAGAAUAAAAUGAAUAGUAUCUGGUAUUAUUAUGUUGUGAUGUCUAGAGUUAGCAUUUCUUCCAAUUGCAUAAUCAUUUUAUUCCACUUCAUUUCAACCUGUGCUAAGGCUUCUUAGAUACUCAAAGCCUGCUUCCAAGUUUAGUGGCAUCACACCCCAGACUGAAAAUUACCCUCCAGUCCGCAUCUUUUUCUCCCUUUGCUAUGUCUAUGCAUUUCUUUUAAAACAGCAGCAAAGGCAGCCAGACUAACCUACUCUAUUCUAACCUACCAAGAAUCGAACUCCCAAUCUGCGAGCGCAAAUGGGGCAAGCCAGUUGUUUCCAUGUAGUAUAUAUUACAUUUCAUAUCAGUAAAAUUUGACAGCCCAUUUCAGUACAAUGCAAACGAGAAAGCUGAAAGAUAGAUAAACUUAAGCUCACAAAAGUAAAAGCCCAAGUCAAAUAUAGUCAUUCUACAUUCAGAAAUUUUUACAUAAAGUAGCUAGUAAACAUCAAAGUUCCCAAUAACAAGGAAAAUAUUAAUGGCACAAAGAAAAAGAAAAAAGGUUAAACGCAUACCUUGACAGUGUCAAAAGGAUGACCAACAAUGACAGUUGCAACGCCUGCCCACAUACCUGCCACAUAUUCUUUAUACAUUGAACUCUCCCCCAUCUUUUAGUGGUUUCUUUGAAGAAUUCUUGUUGCCAGGGAAAUCUUUUCUUUUUUCCUUGUUUCAAACUUGUAUGAGGGGAAUGUGUUUGUCGGCAACAAGAAACAAAAUCAUGAGGUGGUGCUUUUCAGUGGCCAUAGCAGCAUCAAUCUUUAGACCAAGAGUGGUUAGAACUUAGAAAUAGAACGUUAAUAUUACUAGUAUUUAUUACUGUUUUGGGUCACACUAUAGCCGCGGUGGCUGGUGAUGGAGGAGGAUGGCCACCGAUAAUGAUAGCCGAGAUGCUCCUCCGUUGGUAGUUGGCUUCUGCUGCUGCGGCGGCGGACCAACGCAUGCUGGUUCAUUCACUUAUAUAGUGCUUUGUCAGGAUGGAAGAUAGAAAUAAACAUUAGUGGAACGGCACCGUUUACAGAAUUGGGGGAAUUAGUUAGCGGAACGGCACCGUCUAGGAGAUUGGGGCAAUUGUUAAGUAGAACGGCAACGUUUUGGCCAUCUGCUUAGUUAGUUACGGUAGUUAGCUUACAAUAAUAAAUAGGGCCCAUUCUCUGUAAUAAUCAGACAGUUAUAAAUCAGAAUUAAUUCUUUUCCCUUUUCUCUCUCGUGCUCUUUUCUCUCUCUUAUCUCUCUCUCUCAUUCUUUCCUCAAUUUUUCCAUUUUUUUUGAUAAAUUUGUAAAAUUCAACAUUUCAAUAAUUCAAUCCAUAACAAAUUGGCAUCGGAGCUAGCAGAAUCCUUGGACAAAUCAGUUAAAUCAUGGCAGAAAGCACCAGAUUCAAGAUAUUGGAAGAACAAGUGAGGAAACAGGAGACUAAACUACAAGAAAUCAUGGAGAAUCUUCAAUCUUUGCAAUCUUCAUAGCAGCAGCUCAGAGGGGAGAUUCGUCGAGAGCUGGACGAAAGCAAUAAGUGCAUGGAAAGCCUGAUAACUGGAAUGGAACAGAAAUUUGGCAAAUUUUAAGAACAAAAAUUCAGCUCACUAAUGCUGAAUGUGACUUGUGCGAAGAAGAAACUGCCGGAUGAAGAAGUUAGGGGAAGAACAGAACAAACACCACCACUGUUACUGACUCCCCCUCCUUAAUCUAUAUUGUAUCCAGAAGCAAAAAUUACAAGAGCUUUGAGGAAGGAAGGUAAAAUUCAAGUGCCAAAUCCUCCAACAAUUGAUUUACAACUGUUUUCAGGAGAAAAUCCGAGAGAUUGGCUGAGAAAAUGUAACAAAUAUUUCAUUAAAUAUCAAGUUCCGGAUGAGCAAAAAGUAGCUAUCGUAGAGAUGUAUCUUGAUGGAAAGGCGGACAGGUGGUUCCAAGGGGUAAGGAUUGAGAAGCCUAGGCUGACCUGGGAAGAGUUUGAAAAAAUUCUGUGUAAAAGAUUUAAUGAUAAUGGCUAUAAGAAUAUAGUUGAGGAAUUCAACAAACUAUAACAGGAAGGAAGUGUGGAAGGGUACCAAGAGAGGUUUGAAGAAUUGAAACCACUAAUGUUGGUCAAGAACAAGAAUCUUGAUGAGAGCUAUUUUAUUUUCAGUUUCAUCAGUAGAUUGAAAGAAGAAAUUAAGCCUAUGGUGAAGAUGCUAAGACCUGCUACACUGUCAGAAGCCUUUGAGAUCUCUCUGUGGCAAGAGCACAACAUUAAAGUCCAGUCGAGAGGAGUUAGAGAAGGCCACAAGAAUGUUGCAGAGAGUAAGUUUGGCAUAACCAAAGGCACUGCUCCAGUGGCAGCCAACACCAACACAUAUAAGAUACCUUCAACUGGGAAUUUUAAGGACGCCAAAUUCAAAAACGUACAGAUUGACUGUCCAGAUUCUAAAAGAAUUUCACCUCAAGAAAUUCAAUACAGAAGAAACCAUGGCCUGUGCUUUAAGUGUGGGGAAAAGUAUGGACCUGAACACCAAUGUAAAUUAGGACACUUAAACUUUCUGAUCUAUGAAGAGAAAGAUGACUCAAUGUUCGAAGAUCAUUAGGGGAACAGGAUGAUCAAACUGGAAACCCUAGCCAAGUAAUAGAAAUGUCCCUUCAUGCCUUGUCAGAGGCCUUGAAAAGGAAGACUAUCACACUGACAGGGAAGCUGGUGGGGAAGAGGUGUUAAUCCUAGUGGAUACUGGCAGCUCAUAUAGCUAUAUCAGCAGUGAAUUAGUCAUUGGCCUGGAUAUCAAGUACCAGAUGGUCUCCAACCCCUUUUCUAUAAUCAUGGAAAAUGGCGUCUGUGUUACUAAUAAUGCAAUCUGUCCAAGUGUGAUGUGGGAAGUUAAUCAAUACAAGUUCAAGUUUGAUCUCAAGGUAAUGGAGUUGGGAGGAUGGGACAUCAUAUUGGGAGUGGAUUGGAUGGUGCACUUCAGCCCAAUCACAUUUGAUUUCCAUCAGUUAAAAAUCUCCCUAUUCAACCAAGGAUAGACAGUACACCUACAAGAAUAAGUUGAGAACUGUGAUUUGGAUCUGAUCAGAGGGAAGGAUUUGAGGUAUUUCAUUGAGUAUAAAAGACAGGUGUGUACAGCCAUGGAAUGGAAGGAGAAUAAGGAUGGAAAUAAGAAUGCCAUGCCCAGGAAAGUGGAAAAUAUCCUCAGUGAAUAUGCUGAUGUCUUCAAGACAUCUGAUUCCUUACCUCCAAAAAGGAGCAUUGAUCAUGAGAUUACUUUGAAACCAGGGUCUCAACCAGUCAAGUUCAAACCAUACCGUUAUCCCCACUCUCAAAAGGGGGAAAUAAAGAGACAUGUUACAGAAAUGUUAAAGAAUGGAAUAGUUAUAUACAGCACCAAUCCAUUUGCAUCCACAGUCCUGCUAGUCAAAAAAAAAAAGGCACUUGGAGGUUUUGUGUGGAUUAUAGAAAACUGAAUGAGAUGACUAUUAAAGGCAAAUAUCCAAUACCACAUGUGGAAGAGCUACUGGAUGAGUUGGCAGGAGCUAUGUUCAAGUCAAAGUUGGAUAUGAAAGCAGGGUAUCACCAGAUUCAAGUCAAGGCUCAGGAUACUCACAAAACAGCAUUCCAAACUCAUUGCAGCCAUUAUGAGUUCCUAGUGAUGUCAUUUGGCCUUACUAAUGCAUCAGCCACCUUUCAAUCUUUGAUGAACCAGGUAUUCCAACCAUAUUUGAGAAAAUUUGUCUUGGUAUUCUUUGAUGAUAUACUAGUUUAUAGUCCUACAUUAGAGUCACAUGUUCAGCAUCUGAAAAUAGUGCUUGAUAUUCUAAGGCAAAACCAGUUAUCUGCAAAAAAAAAUCUAAAUGUUCUUUUGCUCAGAAAAUAGUAGAUUAUUUGAGACACACUAUCUCUGAGAAGAGUAUCAGUAUGGAUCAAUCCAAGAUUGACUGUAUCUUGAAGUAGCCCUACAUUGGAGUCACAUGUUCAGCAUCUGAAAAUAGUGCUUGAUAUUCUAAGGCAAAACCAGUUAUCUGCAAAAAAAUCUAAAUGUUCUUUUGCUCAGAAAAUAGUAGAUUAUUUGAGACACACUAUCUCUGAGAAGAGUAUCAGUAUACAAGAUUGACUGUAUCUUGAAGUAGCCUGUACCACAGACUGUGAAGGAAUUGAGGAAUUUUUUGGGGUUGACAGGUAGAGCUGUAAACGAACCGAAUCGAACCGAAUAUCUCAUGUUUGAGCUCUGUUCGUUAAGCAGUUCGAACAACGUUCGUGUUCGUUCGUUAAUUUUCGAACUCCAAACUUGUGUUCGUGUUCGGUUCGUUAAGUAAAAUUCGUAUUCGAAUUCGAGUUCGUGUUCGGCUAGUUUAACAUAAAUGAGCCGUUCGCGAACAUGUUCGAAAUGCUCGAAUCCAAAUUAUUUUAUGCUUUAAAUAUGCCAUGCAAAUUAUUAAUUAUUCUUAAAAAUAAUUAAAGUACUAAGUGACUAAAUUCUAUUAUUCAUUAACUAUAUAACUAACAUUAACAUAAAAACAACAAAUAAAACAAAAAAAUUUGCCCUCCAAAUAUAAAAGUCCAGUCAUAAAAUUAACGCUAAAAUUUGUCAAAUGACAAUUAUGUCUAUGUUCACGAACGUUCGUUAAAACUCGCGAACAUACUCGUGUUCGCGAACGUUCGUUUAGCAUGCUCGCGAACGUUCGUUAAAACUCGCGAACUUGUUCGUGUUCGCUCGAUUAUUAAUCGAACAAAAAAAUUCGUUCGAACUCGGUUCGUUUAAAAUUUCGAACGAGCCUUUCACGAACACGAACGAACCGAAACGAACCGAGCUAACGAACAACUCGAUUCGUUUAACAACUCUAUUGACAGGAUGCUAUAGGAGGUUCAUACAAUGUUAUGAGCAAAUAUGUAAAUCUCUGACUGAACUCUUGAAAAAAGAUAACUUCACAUGGAAUGAAGAUGCUCAGAACUCUUUUGAGAAAUUGAAGAAACUGAUGGUCACUGCACCAGUCCUUAAACUGCCAGACUUCAGUAAGCUUUUCAUCAUUGAGACUGAUGCCAGUGGGGGAGGUUUAAGGGCUGUGUUGAUGCAAGAAGGCCACCCUAUUGUGUUCCUGAGCAAAGCACUCUCCCCCAUGAACCUUGGACUAUCUGUGUAUGAGAAGAAACUCCUUGCAUUAGUUAUGACUGUCACUAAGUGGAAGCAUUAUUUGGUAGGACAUCACUUCAUCAUCAGGACAGAUCACCAAUCACUAAAGUAUCUACUGGAUCAGAAACUGAAUACUACUCUACAGCACAAGUGGCUAACCAAAUUAUUAGGACUGGACUACGAAAUCCAAUAUAAGAAAGGUGUUGAAAAUCUGGUUGCAGAUGCACUCUCAAGGAGAUAAGGAAAGGAUAUCACAGUGGACAGCAACACUAGUUCCUGUUUGGCUUUAUUCGCUGUUAAACCAAGCUGGAUGGAGAAACUGAUGAAGAGUUAUGAAAGUGACCCUCAAUGUCAAGAGAUCAUAUCUCAAUUAUUGUUAGACUCCACAUCUCAACUAUCUUACACCCUAACAGAUGGAGUACUCAGAUACCAAGGGAAAAUGUAUGUAGGGGUAGGAAAUGGCAUCAGAAACAAACUGGUCUCAGCUUUACAUGACUCUGCAAUGGGAGGACACUCUAGACAGAAUAACUGCUGGCACAGGAUUAAAUCCUUGUUUUACUGGCCAGAGCUCAAGAAGAAUGUUAUUGCCUACGUCCAAGAGUGUGAUGUGUGCCAACGAAACAAGUCUGAACAUCUUCCAUAUCCUGGCUUACCUCAACCCAUUCCAAUUUCUCAACAAGCUUGGUCCUACAUUUCUAUGAACUUUAUUGAGAAACUUCCCAAAUCUCAGGGCUAUGAUGCCAUACUGGUUGUAAUAGACAGGUUCACUAAAUUUGGACCUUUCUUGCUAUUAACACAUCCCUUCACAGCAAGGCAGGUUGCACAAGUUUUCCUAGACAAUGUUUCCAGGUUGCAUGGUUUGCCAGAAUCUAUUAUCACUGACAGGGAUAGCGUGUUCACUAGUUGUUUCUGGAAGGAAUUGUUCAAACUAAUGGGAGUUCAACUUAAGUACUCUUCUUCAUACCAUCCUCAAACAGAUGGCCAGAGUGAGAGGCUCAAUCAGUGUUUGGAAUCCUAUCUGAGGUGCAUGACUUGUGAGUUUCCAUCUCAGUGGAGCAAAUGGAUACCUACUGCAGAAUGGUGGUACAAUUCUGCAUACCACACCAACUUGGAGCUUUCACCAUUUGAAGCCUUGUUUGGCUAUAAACCAACACCUCUCCCUUUGGGACCAUACCAGGACUCAGUGAUACCUACUGCAACUCAGAUAUUGCGGGAAAGGGCCAGAAUCACCACUAGCAUCAAGGAGCACUUAUCCAAAACUCAAAAUAAGAUGAAACAUUUUGCUGAUAAGCAUAGGACGGAGCAGGAAUUUGUGGUAGGGGACUGGGUAUUCUUAAAAUUAUAACCUAAUAGACAACAGUCUGUAUUAGUGAGGAAGUGCUUAAAGCUUUCUGCUAAGUAUUAUGGUUUUUUCAGGUUGAAGAAAAAUUUUGGAAAGGUAGCUUAUAGACUGAAACUCCCUGCAGGGACCAGAAUGCAUCCGAAAUUUCAUGUAUCCUUACUUAAAAGGAAGAUAGGAACUCUACAGCAAAUGUCUACAACAUUACCAGAAUGGGAUGAGCAUGAUCUAACUCCCUUAAGCCAGAAAUGAUUCUUAAGAGCAGGCCAUUUUACGAGAUGGACAGCCUGUGAUACAACUCCUGAUCACAUGGAAUCACCUCAGCUUUGAUGAAGCAUCCUGGGAAGAUAAAGCUUUCAUAGAGCAACAAUUUCCAGAUUUUUGCAGACUUGAGGACAAGUCAAAUCGCAAGGGAAAGGGAUUGUUAGGAUAGAAGAUAGGAAUAAACAUUAGUGGAACGGCACCGUUUACAGAAUUGAGGGAAUUAGUUAGCAAAACGGCACCGUUUAGGAGAUUAGGGCAAUUGUUAAGUGGAACGGCAACGUUUUGGCCAUCUGCUUAAUUAGUUACGGUAGUUAGCUUACAACAAUAAAUGGGACCCACUCUGUGUAGCAAUCAGACAGUUAUGAAUCAGAAUUGAUUUCUUUUCCUUUUUCUCUCUCGUGCUCUUUUCUCUCUCUCUUAUCUCUCUCUCUCAUUCUUUCCCCAAUUUUUUCAUUCUUUCUGAUAAAUCUAUAAAAUUCAACAUUUCAAUAAUUCAAUCCAUAACAUGCUUCUUCCGGAAUCCACCGCACCAAGCUCCACAGCUUGGUAAAGUACGAUUCUUGGAAUAUUUGCUUUUCUUUUCAUUUUUUUUCAUCAGUCUUUUCUCUUGGAAAAUUCUGUAUCUUUUCAAGUUUAAAAAUUUGACCCAAAAAAAAAGGUGGCCUUUUAUCUAAAAUAUGUCAUACAUUUAUGGUACACAAUGUAGUUUAAGGGGAAAAAUUGAGAAGUUUCUUCAAUUAUUUUUCGAGUUUGUAGUAAUAAGCAUAAUGAACUCAACUUUUUGACUAAUUUUUUACUUUGGCAAUUGUUUAGGCUUUUAUAUUCUAUUGUAGGAAAAAUGUAAUUCAUUUAUCUUAUUUAAUUUUCACACCCAAGAAUCAUGUGCACAUAAUUAGGGCUACCACCUUGCAUAGAAAAAUAACAAGAAUCGCUAUCUGAGAUCAAAUUCACUAUAUAAGAGAUCUAGAUACUUACUGUUUUAUGUUAAAACUAUAAAGGACGAGAGAUUUCUCAAAAAAUGUGGGAGACUAGUUUACAAUUUGCCAUUUUUCAUUUCAGUUUUGUCCCUUGCUUUUCUUAAUUGUUUCCCCUUCAUGGGGUGGUUAAUUCGAAAGCAAUAGCAUAGUAAUUCUCAAUUGAACUAUUAACGCUUAGGUACAUUGCCUCUCUAUCCCCUGUUGCUUUCCAUGUAGUCCAGUCAAAUCACUCAAAUGAAAGACCAGUUUUGUAUUGAAUGACGAAUUUAUUGUACAAUCAUGACAGAAAACAAAAUUUCCUGCUCCAAAAUGAGCUUAUUUUUUCUGGAGCAUCUCUUCUUAUCACCAAAGAAGUGCACAGGCAGACUCAAGACUAAUUACAGCAAAGAAUUUCAGCUGUUGCAGAUGCUGUUCUCCGUGGUCCUUAAUAGAUUACAACAAACUAGUUUGGCCACACUCUUUCUUCUGGCGCUUUGAAGUGUCAUUCACAUAUCGGUGGUCCAACAAUUUAUGACUGCGCUGUCACAACUUACUAGGUAUAAAUUUGUUUGAGAGGUGUUCAACCUUCCCACUUUGAUCUUUCAACAAGUUGUGUCUAUCAGCAAUGAAUUUAGCAAAUCGAGAACCCUUCAUAUCCUUCUCAUUGUCUCCUAUUUGAAGUUUUGGAAGACUAGGCAAAGACGGAUCUGGUUUAGGUGAUAACGGUGGCAUCAAUGCCCAUAUGGCGGAAAGAUGCUCAUUUGGUCUAUCAAGAUCGUCAAGAAGUGACAAGUCCUGCAUGUCUGUUAAAGAGGUACAGACAAGCAAAAUCAUCAAACUUCUCCAAAAUAAGCAGCACAUAAGUGAUAUGCUUCUCCACAUACUUGGUAAGUUUCCCUUUUGUACGGUACAAAGAAAUCUCUGUCCUCCUAAAAAUUUAUCGACCAGAAAGACUGCAAUCAAUGAGAAUCUAGCAUCUCAAAUGCUAAUUACCUUGGGAAAACUUGAAGACAGGCUCUAGAGGCGCACAAGGAAUGCUGAAGUUCAAAUGUGGAAUUACAGCUCCUCCACCAUGUCUGGCAUUACUGAGCAAAAAAUGAAUCAAAUUAGACAUGAAAUUCCAUCUGCACUGUUGAAUUUACAAAUUAGAACAGAAAAUGAUAAUUGUGUUCCCAGGUAGGGUUUCCACACCAACUCAUGCUGGCAUAACACACUAGCAGUUCAAUGCACACUCCAUUCGGUUAACUAAGUGCCACACAAAGACAAGUUUUACUAUUCAAGGACUCGGAAAUCAGCUUACAAUAUUAACCCUUCCAGUAAGAAGUAACUAGAGCAGUCUGGCAGAGUACACCAAGAAUGGUACAUUUGACAAAACAGUGAGAGUCAGAUGAGCGAAGAUAUAUCACCUUUUGCGAUAUCAUGGUGAACUAUUUGUUGGUCUGAAACACAGAAGUAUAUAACGGCUCAUAAAAGUUAUUUACUAGAAGGAGCCAGUUACAUUCAAGAGCCACUCUCAUGCAAAUAGGUAUUGCACAUUGAAGUUUCAAAUUUUGAUCAUGUCAACCAGAUCAUUAGCAGAACUCCAAUAUCCAAUCUUGUUGGUAGUAAAUAUCUGCUGCUGCCAGUGAACCCAAAUUGCAAUUGGUAUUGCUACAUACAAACCUAACAAUCUCAAAGCUUCAACUUACACCCUAUAUGAUAGCUCAGGCAUCAACCAUGCUUUCACUAGAGGAAGGCCAGCGCAGCUAGGUCCCCGCAAAGAAGUGGCAAUGGCAUCAGGAGGGGAAUAACCAGAAAACUAGCCUUGGAAAUUAUAAAUUCAUGUUGUUGUUGCCAUCAAAGUUGAAGCUACAAGUCUUACAGUUGCAAGUGAAAGCAUUUUCGAAAUUUUGGAAAUGACCAAGCAGCAGAACCAUAUCGUGCUCAUGACUAAAUCAUUGCUUAUUAUCAGAAGUUAAUCACCUGGUAACAAGGCCAAUCAUAUGACCAUCAGAAUCCACAAUAGCACCCCCACUGCCCCCAGGGUGUACAGCUGCUGUGGUCUCGAGCAUUGCUGGAAAUUGACCAUCCAUAUUUGUAUCUAGACUGAAUUGAUGAUGCAACUCAUUCUUUGCCUCAACAACUUUUGAUAUGACACCAAGGCAAGCAGAUGGAAGGAAUUCUGAAGAAAAUUCAGACAAAAAUAGAAGAAAAUUCAGACAAAAAUAGCAAAAUAAUUGUUGCCUGGUUUUGGAUCUAACCAUGCAGUCAACUUUUAGCAAUGUUCACUCAAUAUGAGACCAGACAACCACAUUGUCGAACAAAAGCAUGUCAAAGUACACACAGAAACCAAUGGUCGCCCUGUAAAGAAGUCUACCAGUCUCCCACAAUUAUGUUGCCAAUGUACUGAUUAUUUGCCAUACAUAACCAGGAUAUACUAAUAGAAAAAACAUAAAAUUAAAAUAAUUGUCAAGACUAAAAGAAAAUUCCAUCCUUAAACUAAAGCCUUUCUGAGGGGCCUUAAGCUCUCAACAAACACUAUCCAGAAAAAAUUUCAGAGCCCCAACUCUGUCAUGCAUACUAGAGGAAUAGUUCCUUAAAUGUAGGCAUCCAUGAACUAGAAAAUGUAUGACUUCAACUGCAAUUUUAAAUCUUAAAUUGUCAAGAGGGUUCCUUCUAUAAAAUCCGAGAAAACCUAUAUAUUUCAUGAGACAUCUCUACAAAGAGAAGAUAAAAAGGAAAUGGCACGGCACUGACCAAUAGUUUCAACCUCAAGCAUAAACCACCCAACAAGCAUUUGAUGGUCCGUUAUAAAGGUUGUUUAGAACAAGAAUAAUUAUGUCUGAUGAACAAAAAAGGAAAGGAGAAUGUAAAAACCAUGAAACUAAAUAGAAACUUACCACAUCGAGGUCCAAAUAGUCCAUGGCCAAUAACAUAUGCUUUUGAUCCAGGUAAGGGGCAUUUAAAUUCCACAGUAAUCGGGUGAAGUUGAUUGGGAACAAACUCAAGCUGAAGCAGUGCAACAUCGAGGGGUCCUUUAGAAACGUAAACUACCCUAGCAUCAACCCAUAACCAAGGAUCCCUGUGAUCCAAGCGAAUACGUAUGCUUUUUCUGCUUAUGCUUUUCGUGACUUUGAAUAUAGAUCUGCCCUGUUCAUCACCCCGAGAAGAAUCUUCAUUUUUCAUCCCUCCAGAUAGAAAAUCCUUAUUCCGCCAAUGGUUAUUGAAUUUCACAUCUCCAAACAAAGAUUCCUCACAGGGGAAGGACACUAACUUAGAUUUUUCUGUAUCAAUCUCACGACUUGAAGCUGCUUUCCCAAACCUCCAUGGUUCCAACAGAUGAGCAUUUGUGAGAACCAGACCUUGUUUGUUGAGCAAAACACCAGAAGCCCAAGCUCCAUCAUCAAUGGUUAUAAGGCAAACAGAAGAAAUUGCCCUCUCAACAGGAGAUGGCGAAAGGGAACCAGAAAGGAGAGACUCAUGACUGUGCUUCAGUGAUCUAUCUAUGGCAAAGCCUUCAGUUGACAUCUUUCCUACAUCAUUCAAGUUUCCAUGGUUAUAAGAGAUCUCUUUCCACGUAAGUUGAGGCUCCUCCUGCAGCAAGUCACUGCAAGCAGAUGCAAUGGCUUCCCAAGGAAUCACCAGCUGUCAUCCAAAGUUAUUGACUUUGUAUAACAAUUGACAUUAAGAACUCUAAAACAUGCAAGCUCACUAAAAAACAGUUGAAUCUUAAUUCGUUUCCAAGUUUAACAAAACACCUACACCCCAAGUGGUUUCAAUAUCCACUCGAGUAAUGAGCAAACAAAGACUAAUUUAAAUUACUUGAGAAUCUUAACACGAUGAUGUACAGGAAAAAAUAAUUAUAGAUGAAAGGCGCCCUCAAUUAAAAUCCAAUAUGUUGAUUGUUGAGGAACAAAAUAAAAAUGCUGUAUUUUCUAAUACCAUGACAGUCAUUUAAAUAUGUAAAAUACACCACCCAUCUAAGUGGGAAAUCUCUAGCACAAGAAAGAGUACAAAAUCACGUACUUGCAUGAGUACAAAGUUCACAAGGGCUAGACAUGUAGAAACCAUGACCGUGACCAAGUUCAACAAUAUCAGCUAAUAAAUCAAGAACUGUUUCACCCAACAUCAAUUCGCAUAUGAUAAUACUAUGAAAAAGGAUAAACAUGAGGAAGCAGUCCAAGUUACCUGAAUUUCUGCACCACUAGUCCUUUGCCGUAAGGGUCUAGUCAAAAUACCAAUAACUUGGCCAUGUUCUCCGAAAACCGCGCUGCCCUCCAUGCCUAAAUACAUACAAUUGAAGAUCACAACAGAAUAUACUAAUCAGAAGAACCAGACAAGCUUUUGAUAUUUUCUCGCACCAGGAAGACAGCGAAUAUCAGCCAUUAACAGUGAUCUGUCAGAGGAAGAAGGCGGAUGGCUGUUUGCAAUAGAUCCCACUGAUAUACUGGUUCAAUCGUCAAAAGAUUCAACAUGAACAUUGACAAAGAUAAUUGCAACAAACACAAAGUACAGAAAUUACAGUAUAUAUCACAUUAUUUGUGAAAUCAGAGCCAUAACAGUGGAUUAAGCACCAAGGGAAGAACUUAAGAAACCUUUUUUUUUUCUGGUACAAGAAAUAAAAUGCAGUGAUCACAUGAUACUUAAAUCACAUUGCAGACAAAAAACAACUUGCUAGACAAUAAAAAGUGUGAGAUAUCCAGAAAUCAAGAUAACCAUACCUGUUGAAGAAAUGCACAGGAGACAGGAUGCCAAAAGGAGAACCCAUUGCCAGAAGAAUAUCUCCUUUCUGACUUCGAGGAGAUGUGUUCAACUCUGGCAGAACCUAAAAGCAGUUAAAAACAAUUAUACUUACUGCUAUUAAACCUCACAACCUUUUUUAAUGGCAUAUGCAAUUAAAGGGGAUUAAAAUUUAUUCUUGUACUUGUCAAUCGUGUUUUCCAUAGUUUAGUUAUAGUUAAUGAAUGUAUCCAUCUUAAUGAAUGUACCCAUCUUAAGUACAUUUUUCCAUUCAGCUCAUCGUAACAGUGGUCUCUACUACCUUGGAAAUAAACUAAAUCUUGCCGUGAUAAUUGAGAAUCUGAUAACAAAAGCAAAAAACAGGAAAAUUCAAUCUUUCUAUUACAUGAGAAAUACACAGAAAAAGAGGAAAAUCCAUUAUGACCUUACAAAACUUUUUGGAAACAUGAAGAAGUGCCAUCCUUGUAGUCAUUGCAGCCAAAAUACUUGGAUUGCUUGAUUCUGACCCCCUCAUUUGCCCUUGCAUCUGGAAAGGAGAUUGCUCAACCUGAAAUCAUCAAUUGAGAGUUCCUGUUACACAGUACAUAACCUCUCAUGUCAAACUCUGUGAUGUCUCAGAAGAACACCUUUUAUGGACCAUUACAAAUUGAAGUACGUAUGUAAAAUGUUUGAGCAAUUCAAACCACACUAGUUGCAGCAAAUCAUUUAUCAUCAAUAUAAGAUUAAAUUUAAACAGUUCAAUUUUUUUUUGGGGUAAAUAACAGUUCAAAUUUUUACUAAGCAUUUACUAAAUUGCAAAUGAUUACUAGGCUAUCAUAUUACAUAUAACAUCAACUUGGACUAUUGUCUGCUGACAUGUGUCAUGGGCAUAUUUUAUCUGAUAUAGAACAGUUACUCUGGAAUUAUGUACUCUACAAAAUACCUUGUUUCAAUUGGAAGUGAAAAUUUUCACAAAGUAGGAGAAAAUUUAACACAAGAUUCAGUCUUAAGUUGCCAGAUGAAUCAAUGGGUCUCACAGGGUACAAUAUUACUGAACUAGCUACAUUUAAGACACUAGUAGUCCAGCACCAAUGCACCUGGUCACACUUUACUUGGGAAGCAGAAAAUAAGCAAUUAAAUAGUAUAGACAACUUUCCAAGAAGGUGCAUAUAACAAGCCAGUGACCUGCAUAUCCGACAGUCCUUGUAUUUUGCUUUCUUUUUCUGUCAUCAAUAGUCUGUGUCUCAAAUGGACUUUCUAUCUUCUAUCAACUAAUAUACUUCUGAAUCAAGACAAGGUCCAAAUGCUGAAUAAGUUCAGAGAACUCUGAACAGGAGCCUUGCACGCUUGAAAGGUCAAAAAAUAUAUCAUGAUGCUAGUUAAUGGAAAUUGAUCCAUAUUAGCACCUCUCAAAACUACAAUGAAGUAGAUGAAUAAAUUUUUUAGAAAAUUAAAUUUAGGCUUCCAUUGACAGUUUGGGAGGCUUAUUCAAAAACAUGAUUACAGAAAGGUAACAAUCACAUGCUAUCAUCACUCAUUCAUUCCUUCAAGGAGACGUACAAAUCAUUGAAGAAGCAACUGAUUUGCCAAAAUUUUGCUCUAUCAUAGUUCAUACAUAAUAGAAUUCCAUAUAGAUAAUUUAGAAGGAUUGAGUAACUCUGCUCCAAGAUAAGUAAAAAUCAGCUAAAACCAGUGAUUUGCUUGCACUUUCACUGAGUAGCAGAAGGAAAGGUUAAAUUCAGUGGAAGUUCUAAAGAGAUCCCACAAGUUGCCAUGAGGCAUUUGAUUCAAAUCAAUGACAUAUUCACGUGAAAAAGGCUUAAGUGGAAACCCCUGUUGAAAGGAAUCGACAUGUUGCUAAAAGUUUGCUUUUAGGCUAGAAGUCUGAUUCAUGCAAUGAACUCCUUGGUCAAGAUAUGCAAGGGGAAACAGCUGUUUCCAAGGAAUAGGAUUUGUUGCUGUGACACUUAAAGAUUUUGUUUAGGAAGUUGAAGCUGCUAAUUUUGGCAUAUAAUCUUCCACAAUAGGAAAUUAUCUUAGUUUGAUUAGACAAAAUGUGAUGCAACAUCAGAUAAGAGAGUAUAACAGCAUAGAGAUUUACUACAAGGAAUGUGGUACUUCAGAUUCAUCAUCAACCACUACAAAAGGAAACAGUAUGUGUGUUAGUGUGUUAACCAUUUGCCAUGACUAGAAAUAAACUCCUAUGUAUAAAUCUGCAUAAAGUUUACCUCAGAUUAUAUUCUGAAUUCAACAUUAACUGAUAAUUUGAUGUUCUGUAUAAAAGGAGGAGGGAACCAAAUAUGUCAACCAUGAAGAGCAAUUUACCUCUGACUGAGCAUCACCCAUAACAGAUUGGGGAACGCUGGCAUAGGAAGCCAAUGACCAACCAAUUUCCCAACCAUGCUCCAAAGAACCAGAAGCAGUUUCAAUGAGAGAUUGUACAGCACUGUAUGAUACAGGAAUGUCAACCUUAACAUCACAUGAGGAGUGUCAAGAGCCUUUCUAGAUAAACCCAAAUCAAGAAUACAAUGCAUCAUUGGAAGAGAAUAAAGUUUGCCUUUCCAGAUAAUCCCAAAUCAAGAAUACAAUGCAUCAUUGGAAGAGAAUAAAGUUUGAUAAUAACCAAGCAUAUUAGUUCAUCUAAAGACCCACAAGAAGCUAAAACACAGUAUCCUAUUGAGAGAUUAUCAUCUUCGGCCAAAUGCCAUUGACUAGGCAUUGCAAAGAGUCUGAAAAGCAACUUGCAAUGCUACAGUGAUCUUGAUACAUAAAAGACAAGAUGACAUGUAGAAGAAUGGCAAAACAAUUUGUUCAAAAGUUCUAUAGCUUGUACUCCACAAACGCUUUACAAAAAGCCUACCAUCGUUAGAAGUUCCGCUGGAAUCCAUUGAGAAGUCUUCCCCUUUGUGAUUUCAACAUCUAUUUCCCUUUUCCCCUGUACAUCAGCACAUUACCUAUGAACAUAAGCAAAGAAAUCUCGUGACAGCAAAAAGCUCAACAGAUUAAAAUCCUUUGAUAGACUUGUACCUCAACCAAUAUUUCAAUUUGAACACCAAAUAGCAACUGGGGUUUAUCCUGCUUGACAUUGGAAGCAACUUCAGUACAAAAACAAAUAUAUAUAUAUAUAUAUAUAUAUAUAUUUAUACAUAUGUCGGCUGCAAUUCUUUGAUUGAAUGCAUUAACGUGUUUAAGAAGCUCCACCAACCUUAUAGAUGUCUGUCUUGUGUUGCUUACUGACAAAAGGCUCAAUGACUGAUGCAACAGUCAAAACCAACACAGAAUUCCGCACAGACUCUGCAUCCCAGUUCUCAUUACCGAUUUCCUUGGUUCUUGAGGGAUAAUAAGAAAAUCCAGGUAAAAGCAUCCCUGACGCCGACAAUGUUGUGUUGCCAGAACUACAGCAAAAAAAUUAUGCAAAAAUGGGCCAAAAACAUAGAAAAGAUCAGUCUUUUAUGAUAUCAAAUAUAGUUUCUGCACAGUACAUACAUAACAACAUUGUAUAAUCAAAGUACCCCAUGUAACACUUACUUAUAGUGGUGGAAAGCAUGUUUCCGCAUUUUUAGGCCCUUUGGGUCCUGAAAUCAAGUGUCUCAGAAUGAAAACUUAAACCCAGUUAAUCUAACACUAUAAAAUUAGCAUAGCUUCAACAAAAUCGAAUAGCCAACUACCAGUAUUGUGGUGUGAUUCUUUAAAUAACCAUAACACCAAAAAAAUAGUAGCCAACACAUAAAUACGAAAUUAUUCUCAACGCAAAGAAAAAUAUGGAAUGUAAAGUAGUUGGACGUAUGAGUUUCUGCAAAGAGGGACUCACGGGGCCUUGAAUUCUGACCAUGACGGAGAAAUUGCGGGCAAAAUCGACAAUUUCAGGGAAGCCCAUGUUGCAGAGCUUACGUGACAGCUCAGUUCCAAAGAAUCUGACGAUGAUGAUGAUGAAGCUGUGGAGCAUACAAUUUUUCCACCGAGCAUAAACUGAGAGAAAAGAACAAGCGAUUUGUAAAUCAACUUCCAAAAAGUAGUAAAAGAUAAUAAUGGUUCAUCCUUGUUGAUUGGUUCUUUGAAGCAUACUUGUCUAGUAUCUUAUCUGGGGCUUGUCUUGACUCCUGAUUUCUGAAUCAGCAUCAACUGCAAGGAAUGUGGACUUGUGGGGUAAUAGUUCUUGGAUUAAGGUUUGCUACCUACGAGGCGGGAUAGACAGUUAAUUAACGGCUACCGGAAAUAGAAAGAGAACCAAACCGGAAGACUUGUUUUUGGGCUUUCUUAACCUUCAAUCAAUCCAGCUGAAUCGAGCUCCCGAAAAAGCUCACAACUUGGUCCAUAUUUAUAGACCUUUCGAGAUUCAAGCAAAAAAUUUCUCUGUGGGUCGGAUGUCAAGUUCAUACAGUACCAGACCCAGACAGAAGGAUAAAUACUUCUUCUUCUUUAUCUAUUCAAUCAUCAAUGCUUUUUAUGCUUUAUGCCUUAUUUUCAUUCGAUUUUAAAUUAAAUGUAUUUAUGGGAAAAAAAACUCUAAUGUUAGCCUAAAUUUAUUACAUAUUUUCAUUUUGAUGUGUGCGUACAUUGUUAUUUAAGCAUUAUAUUUGUUCUGGUAUUAUAUAAAAUAAAUUUUUUUACACUAUUAAUGUAUAUACUAAUAGGUCAAAAUAUAUGACGCGACAUCUUAAUUUGAAUUUGAAUAGCUAAUUAUAUAUGUGCUAGUAUAUAUACAAUAAAUGCAUCUUAAUUUGAAUUUGACGUGACAUCUUAAUUCAUCUAAAUCUGCUAAUAUAUAUACAAUAAAUGCAUAAAAAUUUACCCUAAUAUAUAUGUAUGUAUAUAUUCUUUAUCACAAUUGUACGUAGCUAACCUAGACUUACACUCCGAGGAAAGGAGAAGGAUCCGAUGAGAUCUCAAGAGAACCAAGAGGGGAAGAAAUCACCUCCAAUCCAACUAGCGCAUUAGUACAGUGAUCUAGCACCUAAGAAAGGCUGUGAAUCCCUCCCGGUGGCCACUGGCUAAAGCACCGUGAUUAUUGUGUUAAUGUAUAUGUUGAAUCUUAUAUUCGUAAAAGGUCGAAAUGCAAUGUUACCAUACAAUAUCAGAGUUAAGGAUAUUAGCACAGCAGUAGCUUUUCUCCUAAUUUAACACUAAAAUCUUUCAUUUACUAUGAAGCUACUCGAAUUACCUCUCUUAUCUCUCCAUUGGUUUUUUUUUUUUUUUAACUUUUAUCUCCCCUUCUGAUACAUCUCUAACCACAAUUAAUUUUACCAUCCUCAUAUGCGAAAUUCGAAAGGUAAAGAUGACUUUCACGCAAUGAAAAGAAAAUUCGAGUCAAACUUAAUUGGAAGUAAUUUGCCAAGUACCCAAACAGAAUAGAUAUUCGGCAAUUGACCAGUUUUUUCAUAAUUGAACAAUCGAUUUUAAGUAUUUGUAAUUAGAGGUGUCAAUCACAAUCCAAUUAUGUUGAUCCGUUCAAACCCUCUCAUUAAUUUUAAAUGAGUCUAAUUAGGUACCCAAAAAAACCAAUUUAAUUGGUGAGUAGUUGGUUGACUCAAUUAACCCAUUUAUAUCCAUUUAAAAAUAAUUAUGCAUGUAAACUCAACUUUUAAUAAGCAUUAAACAAAUAAAUUUGAAUAUCUGACUAAUCUAAUAAUAAUAAAAUACCAAUAUUUCUCGUCAAAUAACAUGCAAAAAAAUAAAUAAAAUUUUAAAUGACUCAUAAACGGGUAAUUAGGUAUACCCAUACCCAUUUAUUAAAUAGGUAUAAAUGGGCAUUACCCAAAUCCGUUCGAAUCAUCUAUUUUGACACCUCUGUUUGUAAUCACACAUUUUCUACUUUGAUGUUCAAUGUCCUUUUACUUCUACUAUCUAUUUCCUUGAUUUCGUUUCUGUGGUUUCAUUUAACCUGUUUGACAUACCGACCACGAGAUUUAUUUGUAUUCCUUAACAAUAUCUAGCAAUAAAGCAGAAUAGUUGGAAGGAAAAAAAAAAAAGAAAGAAAAAGGGUCGGUCGGUCGGCAAACAAAGUGCAAUGUUUUUUAGGUUUUUUUCUAUUCUCACCCCUUCCCACAUCCUUUCCAUUCCUAACUGUCAGAGAUAAGAUUCAAAUCCAAUUACAACAUUCGAACUUCGAACUUGAUAACAAAAAAGACUUCAUGAGCUCUCUUCUAAUCACUGAGUUGACCCUAAUGGCAUCUCUAAGACAUGUAUCUAUUGAUUGCUGAAUGCUUUUUAUUAUGAUUUGAAUGAUGAAUUAUUUUUGCUCUUUUUUGCAAUUUUUUAAUCAGUAACUCUUGGAAGCACAUUUUUGUAUAGAACUAUAUAAUUAAUGUGCAAUGGAAUUUGCUAGUACGAAAGUGGACGUCAAGUCUGUCCUCGAGCAGAUAUCAUCCCGUGGAUAUGCAGCCCCUAAUUAAGAGCAUGAGUUAGAGUAACCCUCCUACAAAAACCAGCAAGUUAAAUGGAAAAGUGUAGUAUAGAGUGGUUGAAGAAUCACCAACGAGCAUCAAUCAAUCAAGAAUUUUUUUAAAGGGAGACAUUAGUUGCGCUCCAUUUCUUAUUUUUCGCGCUACUACAAUUUAUUUUAUCAUAUAGUAUAAUAAAUGAAAAUCAUAUGAUUAAAGUGACAAUGAAAGUGUGAUUAACAAAAAUGGAAGUGCAAAUAUAACAUUUGCCUUUCUGAACUAGCUAACUACUUUUUUUUUUUAUUUUGCUGACGGAGUGGGUGUCCGGGUCAAUUCUUACGGGACCGACUAAUCCCACUUCGACUCGAGAGGAGAGGCCCCAUCCCCCGAACACGAUAAUCACAGGAUUCGGACUCUUGCGAAUACUUUAUUCACACACGAUAACCACACACGAUAACUAGCUAACUACUUUAUUCUCACCAAUUUGCCACUGGAAUUUGCCACAAAAUUCCAUUCUUGGAUAAUACAAAACCCACAAAAAAAAAUUCCUCCUUAAAAAUUAAAACUAAUAAUGUUUCCUCAUUUAACCAAUUCUUCAUUUUCCAUGACUAAAUGCAUAUCUAUAAUCGAGGUGGUUGGAUACUUGGAUCCAUUCAAGCAAUUGAUUGUUACAUGCUAUAAAGCAAAUUCAAAGCACGAGGCGCAGUGGAUCAAUAUUAUUGUUUGAUAUAUAAAAUUCUCAACAAGUUAAAGGGUCAUAUUAGCAAUUUGCCAUGAAUUCAAAGACUUGUUCCUUGUGCAUGCACAGUAGUACCUUUUUGAAUGCUAAGAAAAGAAAAGUUGUCUCCAAAAUUUCUCUUCUUUUUUUUUUUUUUUUCAGUUUCAGGUAAACAAUUCAUUAUCAAUUAAUUUAUACAACUCGCGCAGCGUAAAUAGUAGUAGUAGUAGUAGUGUAUGUAUAAACACAACAGAGUAAACGAAAGCCACACCGAAUCGCUUCUCUCUCUAGUCUUUCUUGCCUUUCUCUCUCCUUCCUUCCCCGCCAGGUCCGCCACUUCCCGCGGCGGCGAACACCUCCAUCCACGCCUUUGACUAGACAAUGCCAGCACAAAAGCGUUCACAGGAGACUCCUCCUCCGCCUCCACCUCCGACUCUGCCUCCUCCUGCGUCUCCACCUCCUGCACUGCAGCAGCAGCCGCCUGAGGAUAGAGACGAUGAUUCGCUCCAACGUAACCAGAACGACAACGGCGAACAAGCCGAUGACGCUGACGGUACGUUACCUACACGUCUACGGCCUACAGAUUCGCAUACGUUUACCUAAUUCGAGACGUUAUUUUCUAGCGGAGAAAUUUUGGUCGGUUGCUUUUGCUACUCUCUCAUCUCAACUUUUUUUUGACUCGAUUUCUUUUUCCUUCACUAGCAGAUUCCGAUGGAAGUGCAUCGUCGAGUGACGGGGAAAAGGACGAGUAAACUUUUUUCACUGUUCCUCUCUGCUUUUGUAGAUACUUGUAUGUGUGCAUGUGCAUGUCUGGUUAUGUGUUCGGCAUUGUGAUUGAUUGUCUUAUGACUGUGAUUUUUUAUGUUUAGAGCUGAUCAAGGCUUGAAUGUGUAGCUGGAGGCGUUUAGUUUGAGAUCCGCACGAUUUCUCUGGUUUUAGUGGUUGUAGCUAUCAUUUCUGUUAACUUUUCCCGGUCUUCCAGCUCUGUAGUUCACGUUCUAUUCAGCAUUUGUGGAAGUUCAAAUGGGUAUAUUUCAAAUUUCGUUGAAGCUAGUUAACGUUGAAAACUUGGUGGUCGCGAUUGCUAAUUGAGCUUGCUGAGAUGGAAUAGGUUUCCUAUUUUUCCUUUAAAGUUCUGUGCAUGAAUUUGCUGAUUGGGAGUUACUUAUUAAAAAUUAUGCUUAAACUUGAUUUGAUCUGUGGGGGAGUUAGUUCGGCUGUUGGAAGUUGUUUCUUCUCCCUCCCCGCCUUCCCCUUUCUUCCCUGCUUUUUGGUGUUACUACGCAGGAUAUGUAGCUGGAUAAUUGGACAGUCUAGUAAGCCACGUGUGAUAUUUUUACCAUGAUGUGCUAGGUGAUUUCCUGAAGGCUCUAUAUCCAUGUGAGAGGAUUUAGCGCAUGCAGUUCUCUGAGAGAUGUGAGGAUGAAAGGGUACUUUGGGAAGCGAGUGAGAGAAGAGUUGAAAUACUGAAAGGGUGAUUUGGAAGAUGAGGGGCCUUCAGUCUUCAAAUUUGCAUUAGGCCACUGAAAUGAGGGUGUUACACAAUUGAAGUUUCCAGUACAGUAGACGCUGUACCUGGCCUUUGUUCAAGAAGCCAUGCAUCAUUAUCAUCAUGUUCAGUCAUCGAUUACUUUUGGUCCUCUUUUGCUGUAGGAUCUUAGUUAGAAUGAAAAGGCAUUUGAAAGACACGUACCAUAAUAUCUUGGCCAGCUGUUGUUUGUCUUUUAGUGCAUUAGGAAAGUUUCCUGUCUAAUUUUGUGAGCUACUGGACGAAUUGAGAACCUCGAUGGACAGUAACAGCAUGGUUUUACACCAAGCUACCUCAUUUUCGCCAAUUAUGAAAUUUUCUCUGUGAAUUAUGAGGUUGACAGAAUGAAGAUUAAGUUCCCAUAAGUUUGAUUACUCCCAUCCAACAGCCCUAUCUCUUACUUUAUCUGUUGUCAUGUAAUUUCAGGGUUAUGUGCUUGGAAAGGUGCUGGCUGCAUAGUUGUUUACAAACUUCCACUGAUUUGCUUUUAAGGAAUUCUGAAAAUUACCUCUCUGCACUUAUGCUUUACCACUUCUGCAGAUUUAUCAUCAUGAAAUUGUCAGAGAUACGGAAGGAAGUCCAGUGUCCGAUAUGCUUGGGUAUGUGACAUGCUUUAAAAAGUUUAGAUUAAUUUUCUCUUAACUGCAAGUUAAAGUAUGUGAUUCAAUACCUGAUCAUGAAUAUGAGACGGAUAAAAUAUCAAUAGAAUUGUUCUCUAUUCAGUUUUGCAAGAAAAGUUUGGAAAUAUUUUUGCUGGGGAGGAGAGGAACUUGUCUGUGAUUUUUCUGGCUUUACUCUCAUGUGAGAUUUGAUUCCCUGAGUUUUAAAUCCUUGAAGCUGCUUGUCCUUGAAGGUCAAAAGUUUAUAUAGUGGAUAUUUUGUCUGAACAAUGAUGCAGAAUGAAUUUGUCAUCAGGAACUUAUUCUUGUGUCAAGUCAGUAACUUUUGCCAGUAUGCCGCAGCUUCUUGAAAUGAAAACCUUUUCUUGGGCUAGUGAAAUUUCAAAAUGCGGCAUUGUUAGUUCAUUAUAGGGUCAGGUAUCAAAUAUAUAGAUGUCUAAAUAAUUAUUCUUAGCUAGCCAUUUAGUUGAAUGAAUACAAUAUGUAACAAUUACCAAAUUAAGAGCUUUUUUGUGUAUUGGUAUUAUGACUAUUAUAAACAGAAAUCUUCAAUGUCUUCUGAUUGUUUCUAUGAGUAUUCAGCAGGUACCUUUUGCUAGAUAUAUCCUCUGCUACUAUGACAAUGUAUUAUAUGCUAUAUUUUUCCAUUUAUUUUUGUUUAUUGUGAUACUCGUUCACAUUCCUUGAUUUAAAUAUUCUACAGUAGUUUGGAUGUUGAAAAAUGAUUAGAAAUAAAUAUUGCUUUUGUAUUAGUGCUACAAGUUGUGUCACAUUUGGGUUGGAAAGAUAUCCAAAAACAUUAUAUUGCAAACACCCUGUAAAAGGAAAUAUUUCCUUGAUCAGUUAUCCUUUUGUUCCUUAAGCACUGUAGUUAAAGCAAGCAUUAGUUAGGAAGUAGAAAAAGAACAAGAAAAUGGAGGCACUUUUUUACUGGUUUGGGACUUGGUUGUGCUAUAACUGUGAGAUGGCUCACAUGGCUUUCCACCAUUUGGUUGUGAAGGCAAACAAGAAAUUGAGAUCUCUGUACUUUCUGAUCUAUUAGUCUUCCAACUUUACUUUCAACUAAAUGUUUCUUAAUAAUGUUCUUUCCCAUAUAUCAUGGAUAGGCAUCAUUCGGAAGACAAGAACAGUUAUGGAAUGCCUUCAUCGCUUUUGCAGAGAAUGCAUUGACAAGUCAAUGCGACUUGGGUACUGUAUCAUGCUCAUGUUUAAACUGUGGUUGCCCUCCUGUAUCCAUACUUAUGAUUUGACCUUUAAUGCAGGAACAACGAGUGCCCAGCUUGUCGCACGCAUUGCGCUAGUCGACGUUCUUUGAGGGAUGAUCCAAAAUAUGAUGCUCUCAUUGCUGCUUUAUAUCCAGAUAUAGAUAAAUAUGAGGAGGAGGUAUAGUUUAAUAUAUUAUUCCAUUUCGUUUAAGGGACCAAUUAGUCUAAUUUUUUGCUGAACAUGAGCACUCUCUUUAUCUGGUAUUGUAGCAGGAAUUGGCUUUCCAUGAAGAGGAGAAAGCUCGUAAUAAGCAAGUGAGUUAGCUCUGUUUCACCUCAGAACUUGAGUUCAGUCUAGAUUUCCUUCACUUUCGCUUCCUUAUUACCUCGGUAUGCUAUAAAUAGUUUGAGGAGAAUUGAAUUCCUAUGCAGUAACUAGCACAGCCAACAGUUGACCUUCACUGCAGGAAUAGCUUUGCCUUAAUUGUGAAUGACAAAUGUGGGAAUCCCAGUUUCUGCCUUUUGUCUGGAUCUCAUUUCCUAUGCGUCAUUUUCGUUUAUUCUUUAGCACACUUUUGUAUAUGCCCAUGUAAACAAGACAUUAGCUUUCUAACAAAUAUAAAAUGACCAUUCCAAUGUAUGGCUUUGUCUUUGAUUUGUUUACAGCCCAAUUGCACAUCUGCUUUGGACCAUUGGUUUCCUAGAAUUGGUCAUUUACUCAUCUUUUUGGUUAUUUGGUCAGAUACAAGCUUCAAUUGCCCAGACUUUUCGCCGACAGACAGAAGCACUGGGAAGAAAAAGAUCAGCUAGGGCUGCAGCAAGGAGAUCUCAUGGCAGUUACCGAAAUGUGAGGGGAAGGAGAAAUCUUCGAACUUCUGAACAUCAGGGAUCUGACGAAGAUGAUGAUGCUAAUGGAAUUUAUGGUGGAAAAGAUUCAUCUUCUGCUGAUGAGCGCAGUCCAGAAGUGAAACCAAAAAGGCAAAAAAGAUGGGGAGGUGCUCGUUUUUCACAGUCUUCUGCGGCAGCCAAUUCUGAUGCAGGGUACGAUGAGAAUGAUUCAGAAGUAAACAGAGAGCUGCUUGGUGCUUCUGCUGGACUGAUUGGCGGCACAGAAAUUCUUGCAUGGGGAAAAGGUGGCAUGCGCAGUCAUACCCGACAUGGUGGUUUUAGUGGUGGCAAUGGCAAGUUUGCUAGAAACAGCCGACUUUCAAAGCUGAUGGACUCUUUACGUUGUUCAGAUGUAAAGAAUGAGGAGGUAGACUAUACAUUAUGUGCUUUCCUCAGGUGUACGUUGAUUUUGUUCCAAUUAGUGAAGGAAAUUUGUUUACUUCUCUUUUUAUUGGUACAUGCCAUGGACAUCCUGCUUGUCUGGAUGUUGAACUAGAUUAGUGAUAUCUUCUGCAACAAAAAUAGCAUAACUUGCUUUUUUAGCUCGUCACAUCACAAUGUUCUCGCAUGAGGAUGGUUUCUCUUUUGAUCGUUUCAGUUGGAUGUCAGUCUUGAGCUUGUUGCCAUGGAUAAAGAAGAAAUACCCAAUUUGCAGAGGCCUUAUCUUAGUUGUAAGCCUACUUUGUCAGUGAGACACUUGUGCCAAGUAAGAUGCUCGCACAUCCUAAGUUGUCAUUUCUCAUAUAUAGCAAUCCACAUUGAGGAGCUUAUGUUCCUAGUCUGUAACUAGUUCUUAUGUCUAUACUGUACAGUAUGUUGCUCUCCAAACUUCUAUGCAAGCUGAGGAAAUUGAAAUUUGGUGGAAAAGGGAACUUAAAAAGGGGUUUCCCCCAAAACACAACAAUGAAGCCCCUAGUGCAUCUGCUUUUCUUGAUCAGUCUGAAAAUACGGAAAGGUUGGAUGAGCAUCAGACCCUGGGUGACAUUCGAACUAUUUACAGUUCCAGUCAGUGCAAUUUGGUGAGCCUUCUGUUUGAGAUGACUUUAACAUGCAGAACAUGAACUGUAAAUUUACUAAAUACUAAACUAGAAUUCUCAUGCCCUGUGUGUUGAUCAGUGGUAUUCUGCUUAUGUUCUUGCUGCUUGCAGGUUUUGGCAUAUGGGCGGAAGUAGAAGGGUUUAGGAAAGAUGUAUACAGAUAUAGUGCUUAAGGGAACUCUAAUUUAGUUCAGAAACUGGGAAGCUCUUGUAUGUAUGGCCCUUUUGAGUGGAUUGUUCACAGUAGUCGAAGAAUGCAUAGAUAAAGUUUCAACAACAAUUAUACAUAAUCUUGUUUAUGAUUUUGUACUUGUCUGAGUUAUUGGAGAUGCUUGUUAUUCUUUUUGACAUAGUCCCCAUCUGACCCUAUUUAAAUAUUUGUCUCAGCUGUUGUUUUUUUAGGUACGUAUAUGAAACUCUCGCUUAAUUAAUUCGUUGAUAUCCGAAAACGAGUACUCGUUCCAAGUUCAUGAAGCCCAUAACCUGUUGCAUGUUUGAUGCAGUCAGAAUGGAAGGAUUUGUUCCGCUGAUGUUGUUCAUCUAUGUUUUCCAGGACAUAUUUUUCUUCCUCUAAUAUUCUCUUGUUACCUUGUUAUUGGCAGUUAAUAUUGGCAUGGAAAACCUGCUUGUGCUACUUAGUAUAUCAAUAGAUAGACUGUUAUUGGCAAUUACCAGUUUUGCAUCAGCCGGCAAUGUCUCGUCGUGACAAGUGACAGGCAAGAUUUAUCCUCGAAGAGGUGACAAAAUUUCUAUAACAUCACAAGAAAGAUUAGGCUUCAUAAAUGGCAUACGUAACAAACCCGGUGAUGAUGGAUAAGUGAUUAAGAAUGGGUUGGUUGGUCUGAAAUAGGGAUUGUGCCGUUUGAGUGGGUAGGCUUAAAGAACUUAAAAUUUCCGUUCCUCUUUUUUGUUUUCCUACAAAAAAGUAGGCAAUGAAAGCGAGAGCUUUUAAGAUUGACGCCCUACACUUCACAGUUCUCACUCUUGGUUUUCCUCUAUCUAGCGUUGUAGCAUUAUAUUGGACGUUGUGUUCCAGAAAAGAUUUUUUAAAGUAAGAAAAACAAAGAGAGGCUUCCCAUCCAUGGCUCCCUUCGGAAAAUGCAGCAACUUCCUCAGAUGAAAAGAUGGAUGGUUCGAAACAAAAUCAAUUUAUGAACUGAUCUAUUGCGUAAGAGGGUCAAACGUGUGAAACCCAAACCCCUUAGCCCAUCAAUAUUUGGAAGCCUCACAUUUUCGGUAGCCGACGAUUGAUAGAUGGACAAAUUCAGGCCCACACCCAUUUACGUACAAUCCGUUGCAUCGGGUAUUUUAUCGCUCACUGGAAGUCCACAAAUUUUUGGAAGCUCGCCAUUCCACGUCUGAAAUAAUGGACAUAUCAAGGUUCAUUUCCCUUCACAUAUGAUAAUACAAUCUAGGUUCUUUGCUAGAGAUUACACACUAUAAUUAAUCGAAAAGGGGUUGCUUUAAAGUUGGAUAGGAUUUGAUCCAAUAAUUGAAAUUUUUUUAAUUUUUUUUUUCAGCACUUUAGAGUCUCGACUUUAACCCUUAGAUCAAGAGCUCCUAAGCAAAAGAAAAAAAAAAAAAUUUUUUUAUUGUGUUUAAUGUUUGUAUUCAUUGUUUCAGUGACUACAUCUAUCAUCAUCACUAUUACUAUUGACAAAACAUAAUUCGAUGCAAGUCUGACCAACAACAACUGCAUCCCCCGAAUCCCAUCCAAUGUUCUUUCAACAACUUGAGAAAUCUCAAGUAUUUGAGUUAAACAAACCGAAGCCCCAGAUCAAUCGUCAAAAGCCCCAGAUCAAUCCCAUCCAAUGUUGAAUUGCCUUUUUUCUGUAUAGCCUCAAAUCAACAGCUGAUCCCCCUGCAGCAGCUUCGGCAGCUGCUGCUUUACCAAUGUUGGGAAUGCCACGCACUUGAUUUGAUCCUUAAUCAAUAUCUACAUCCUAGGGGUGGUGUUAAACUCCACGUUUAAGGGGAAUAAAUCACAAUCGUAGAAUUUCUAUACAUUUCCCUUUGAGUAACCUUUUCUUUCCAAUUUGUAAUGAUACAGACCAGGCUGGUUUGUACAUGGCAAUCCCAUUGCGAGUUGUAAGCAUAUAAUUAGUCCUUUGAAGCUGCUUUCUAACCACCCACUCCGUCAUCCUUCCCUCAAUUAUUUUUGUCUACUGAUCAGACUACUAAAAUAAUCAACAUCAACAUCAACUUUUUUUUUUUUAUUUGUAACUGGACCUCAAUAAUUGAUGUACGGCGUCUCAAUCAAUUCUUAGUGCCACGGGACAAGUCAGAUAAGCACGAAGUAGUCAAUUAGCACAAGAACAUAGUAAUAUGAUACCAGUAACAAAAUUCAAAUCCAAUCCAACUUCUCUUAUUUAAUAAUAGCAGUAGCAUAGAUAAGAGCAAGCAAGCAGUAAUAGGAGGUUGCUUGUGUCCACCUUCCACGGCGCACACAGCACACACACUACCGAUUCUUCAUCAAACAUUAAAAAGCACUUGAGAUGAGAUGAGAUGAGAUGAGAUGAAAAACAAACACAUUGCAGUCAGCUUUGGAAAACUAGUUAAAAGGACACCAUGGAUCCAUAAUUACAAAAAAAAAAAAAAAAAAACCCCAUUAAUUGAGGUGCCUUCUUGCAGAGCUGCAACAUCAUAUGAGAGCUACGAGGUUGAGUAUUAACUCCCAACGCUAUUUACAUAGGCAGUAGUAGUAGGAGCCAUCGGCUAUCAGUCGCUUCAGCGAUGUUUGCUCCUAGUCUCCCCGCUGUAGAGCCUGUAAUUAAAUUUGACAAAAAAAAAAAAACAGAGAGAGAAAGGUUUAUGUACAAGUUACUAGCAUAUGGUUAUCUUGAUUACCACUAGCAAGUACUAUUUAUUCUCCAUAGUAUCAAGAAAUCAAAAAUUUUAGAACCCCAAUAAGUUGCUGCUUGUAUGCUCAAUGGAUACGAUUGAUUACCUUUUUACAGUUCCAUUUGGGCAUCCAAAAUAAAAAGAGUCCUACUGCUGACACUAGAUCUGACAACUGGUGCUAAAGGCUUUUAUCAUGCAUCAAGAAGAUUAUUAGGACAGAGAGCCAAGAUUCAAGAGUCAAAUGAAAAAUACUGCGCAGAUCUCUACUUCGGACAUGCAACUUUGAAACCACUUUCCCAUUUUUCCUUCCCCUUUCCAUGUUUUUUGUCAUUUUUUUGGGUAAAUUUCUCCAUAAGAAAUGUUAAAUGAAAACACUACUCCAUAAGUUGAGACGGUGGGCGAGGCUCCGUCUGAGGCAUAUAUUAAGUCUGUUCAGUUGGCAUAGUUCAUUAAUUGAAAAAACGAUAUGAGUACUCUAGAUCUGACAACUUGUACUACAGAUUUUAUCAUAGGUACUUCCAAGUUUUCAUGAGGGGCCAAAAAGCCAGGAUCCAAGGAUCAAAUGGGAAGAUCUUCCCAAAAUAAAAAAAAAGAAUCAAAUGGGAAGGAAAAAAAAAAUUACCGAUCUCUCUGCUUAGGACAUGCAACUUGGUCACUAAUUUACCCCCAUUUUUUUCCCCCAAUUUCGAGUUAUAUUUAUCUUGAUCUGGAUAAAUUUACAUGCGACUUGGGAAACAAGUACCAGUCAUAGACAGUGGGAGAGUUAGACUGAGGCUUGUCAAACAGAUCUGAUCCAAGCCCCUUGGUUGCAAUGUUACUCCCCGGGUGAAAAACACUCCUCCACACAUUCUCUUUGCGGGCUGCCGUCGGCGACGGAGUGGUUGGUGUUCCCGGAGUUGCCGGGGUUGCAGGGCUGGGUGGCAUAGACAUGGACCUCUGAUACUUGCUGCUGCUAGCUUCACCUGCCCCCCCAUCUAAAUCAAUAACACCACAUGCCCAGUAUUUGUCACACAUAAUAGAACUAGUACACAAAGUGAUCAUCGUCAAAAUUUUUUAAAAAAAAAAAAAAACAGAGAAUCUCAUGGCAGAGAUUCAGAUCAUCAUGCUGAUUCCUGCAAGUGACUGUAACACUUGCAAGAUGUACUCUAUACCAGCUCACCCAUGCAGGUAGGCCUUUAUUCAUUCAUAUUCUAACAAAAGAAACUGACAUCCACAAAUAUACAACACACACACACUAUAAAAGUAGAAGUUGAAGCUUUAGAAUUGGAUGAUGAAGGGGAAGGGGUACCGGUUUUGACGUUCAAGGGCUGGGUGGGGAGCUUCCUUAGCUUUCCCAGGCCACGUUCAGGUUGAGGUCCGGCUAUAACAUCAUCCCACAGCUUGUCUAUCAGAACCAUCUUGCCGCAAUGCAAGGCUUUAGCCACUCAGCUGCUUACUGAUUUUUCUUUUCCUUUCUCCUCUUCUGCUUUUUCUUUCUUGAUUGAUGAAACGCCUCAACUGCUCGGAAUAAAUAGAAGGGAGAGCCAAAAUAUCUCCUUGUCUCCAGAAAUUAGUUUUAACAAAAGGAAAAAAUAUAUAUAUAUCUUAUUUUUUAUUUCUUCUUUUUCAAUAAUUUAGAUGCUGACUCCCAAGACUUUUUUCCCAUGUACAGAACACAACCGCCCUGUUUAGUUUGUGGCAUGACACGGAGGGGCUGCUAAGUGGAAGAAAAAUAGUGGGUGGAUUAAAUCAAUGUGGAUAAGGAUGAAGAUUGAAGACUAGGGGGAAAUGUGGGACCGCUGUGAUAUUAUCAGUCUUGAGAUCGUAAUAGAUUAGCGGUAGCGUAGGUGGAGGGUUGCCAGUACAAAUGUCACUUUCCUUGUUCAAUAUUGUCCUAUUCUUUGGUUUCUGCAGAAUAGGAAGUCUUUUUUUUUUUUUUUUUUUUGACAAAUGAUUUUGAUAAGAGAAGAGUGAUUUGGGAUUGGGAUCCGCUAUCCACGUGACACGAUGGAGCUAGUUACUUUGCCAUCAUCACACCCAAGGUUAGAGAAAAUCAGAAGAAUUACUACUACUUGGCUGUUAAUUUACGAUUUGAAAGGAGGAUACAGUGCCAAUUAUUUACAUCCAAUUUGAUUAGGAUACCUUUCGAAUUGAAGUCCAAUUUUAAUAUGACAGUGGGUUCCAACUCUUUUCCGAUGCCAAUUUUCUUGCUACAAUUUACUAGAUUGGAGGUUCAGCCUCCGUCUAAUAUAUUACACAAGAAGUAUAAUAAUAUUUCUUGUUCUUAAAAAAAUCGGACCCCUAACCCUGAUACAAUUCUCUUCAGGCUAGUCUCUCCCCAUAGAUGGGAAUAGGUUAGAUAGUUGUCGUUAACAAAAAAAAAAAAAAACAAAGACUAGUGACUACUCUGGUGAUUCAUCCCCAACUCCAAUACAAGCUUUUUCAGACUACCCCUCUCUUGCCGGACAAUGUUAGAUAAUUGCCGUUGCCGACAAUAGAAAUUUUGUUUUGACUUUAAUUAAAGUAAGAGUAGCGUUAAUCCUAUAUGCAUUAAUUGCAUAUAGUUAUCAUAGUUAGAUGCAUAAUACAUAUGUAAAUUUUAAACUCACAUUUAAAAUAAUUAUAUAUAUUUAAUGAUGAUAACGUAGAUAGUAUACAAAAAAAUUAAUUCAUGAGAUCAUGGGAUUGAUCAUUAUUAUUAUUUUUUUUAAUUGAGCAUCCCAUCACCUUCUUUGCUUACAUGAUAGGCUAUUAUUGUUAUUCUCAACUAACCAUACCAUACCAUGGGAUAAAAUAAAUCAACAUCACGGGCCACUUCUAUAACCUUUUGCCCAUGCCUUGUCUAGGGACCCAAUGCCAUGAAUCUGGAUGGAGUGCAAUGUUCCAACACUGACGUUGACAAUCAAUGCAUUGAUUUGUGUUAUCACUAAAAUGUGCUGAAUUUAUCUUUGUCAUGAUCGAAGGUUAUUUUGGAAGGGGCUGGAGUGACCGUGGCAGGUCAUUUUAAUAACUGCUAUUCCUUCAGCCUGCCCAAGACUUUUGCUACAAAUGUAUUAGAUCCUGAUUCUGACUAAUUUACCUCCUUUUAACUAAUUUAAUUAUAUGUAUUUAUUUUAGAGUUCAUAAUUGUUGAAAAUCAUGGAAAAAUCAGUAUCAAAUACAGAGUGCUUUGAGUAAAUUAAACAGAAAAACACUGACCUUGUCAAAGAGAGCUAAUAGUUAUAAGGGGUGUUAUUUUAUUUUUAUAUCUUUUCCGUGAAAAGAAAUUGUGUUAUUUUCACUUGUUUUAGAUUAUAUUCCUAUAUAGGCCUCUAUUUAAAUAUAGCACUCUUUUUUUUAUUAAUCAUAUUCUCACUAUCAUUUUUAUCAUAUAAUUUUCAUUUGUUAGACUAUGUGAUUAAAUAAAUGUUGAAAGUGUAAUUAAUAAAAAAUGAAAUGCAAAUAAUAUUUCCCAAAUGCCUUGACUAAAAAGGCCGAUGACUGAGGGGGGGCUCGCUGGCCUUUCAAGUCUCAGCAACCCGCUCUUCAACUGCAGGAUGCUUGGAAGCCCAUAAGUCCGGUGUAGCUAUAUUUAAGUUGGAGUCUCCAAAUAAGCCCCAGUAUUCAGAUUUGCGGGCCUUUCCUGGACCGGCCUAAUGAAAGGAAGAAACUAGCUGUAAGAAAGAACGGGAAUCCUCUACUGUGGAAAUUCUAAAAGGACAGGGAAGGAGUGGGUCAAAUGUCUACUUCAACUGCUAUUAAAUUGGCUAUUGGUACGACGCAAUUGAGCGUCCAUCUGUGGAAGGCGAAUUCUUUAUCAAGUUUUAACCAAUUACCUACUGAAAGUUUUAAAUCUAACUUGAAUGUAGGUUAAAAGAUUAAAUUUCUUAAUCUGCAUUUUAAAAAAUUCAAACUUUCCUGAAAAAGUUUACUAGCGGGUGUGUAGCCACCUUUUUGAGGCGAUGAUGGUUUAGUUCCUUUCGAGUUCUCUUUGGACCCCUUUAGGUCCCUCCUCCUCUAAUAUAAAAUAGAAGUAAAUUUAAAACAGAUUAUAUCGUGUCCAAAAAAAAAAAAGAAGUAUUUAUUAAAUUCUGAAUUCUUUAUUAAGUUUUUCAGUCUACAAACGAUUCUGAGGUCCAUUUGGCGGCGGUGAAGUCUUCUUCCUCGGCAUUGAGUUGUUUUUUGCCUGAUCAUUUUCAAGCUCUUUGGAAAUGGAAAGCCGGGCUUAACUACGACUUAGCCAAGAACCAAAUGGAUGGACCACCGCACCCAAUUUACCAACAUCUGUCACCUAGAAAUGACCUCCCUUGCUUACUCUUUUCAAGUCACAUUAAAUCAAUGUUUUGAAAACUGGAUUGGAUCGGCCGGUUCGACCAGUUAAACCGCGAACCGGCAUGGCACCAGUCCGGUUCUAUGUCAUAGUUGAUUUUUGACAAAAAAUCAAUCAAAAAUCGGUCGAACCGAAUUGAACCGGUGGUUUCCGGUUUUCAACUUUUUUUUUUGUUUUGUUUUGUUUUGCAAAAUGCAACUAUCAACAUUCGAAUCCAAGACCUUUGUAAUAGAAAACCAAUUUAUUAACCGUUGCACCAUCACAUCUUAUUAGUUUUUUUUUAUAACUUAUUUAUAUAAAAUAAACACUCAUAUUUUUUUUUCCAUUUUUCUUACAAAACCUCAUCCUCUCAAUGCUCUUUCUUUUUAAUCUUCAACUCUCUGUCUAUCUCUCUAUCAUCUUUUCUUUUGCCACUCCCUUUUUAAUCAAACCUCUUUAUUUUUAAUUUAUUGAUGUUUUCUUCCAUCUUUUAAUUUUGUUUUUGUCCAUUAAAUUUAAAGAAGUUAAAAAAGAAUUAUUUUUCUUUAACCCAAAUUAUUUAAUGCCACAACCACUCACUUUUAUCUCAUUUUUUGUUUCUUAUCAAGUUUACAUUUCUAUUUUCGAUUUUCUUGACUUCCUUCGAACUUCAAACUUCUUUUUUUAAACUGCAAUAUCUAAAUCCCAAAACGUAAAUUAAAAUUUAAGUUCACAAUAUCUAAAUUCUCAUAGAUGUGAAUUUUGUAUAAUUUCAAAACAUUGUGACAUUUUUGGGUUGGAUUUAGAUAUAAUUGAAAUUGAGAUGAAAUUUAUUUGUUUUAACUUAUAAUUUAAAAAAUUUAUUUUUAAAAAUCCAAGUUAUUAAAAAAUAGUAAACUUUUUAUCAUAUAAAGUAUUAAAUUAGUCCAUUACAUGUCUUAUUUUGUGCAUAUAUAUAUAUAUAUUAUUUUUAAAAAAAUUCAUUAAAUCAGGGUUGAACCGGUUCGACCGAUUGAAUCUCGACCCUUUCACUUCACCGGUUCAAUUAACGGUCCGAUUUUUAAAACAUUGCAUUAAAUAAUAUAAAUUUCGUCAAGCAACAAAGUGCAGCCUCUAAUUGUGUGCGAAGGUGUGCGAGGGGGGUUGGGACACCAUCCCACAUUGGAAGAUCGUAGGAUAGUUACUUUGGGGUUAAGGUCUACAGGGGCCUCGUUCUAUCACCAAUUGGCUUAACGUGAGUUCUUUGUGGGUCUCCCUUAGAUUGCUUUCGGACCGGUUUAUCCAUUAACUCUGAGUGUAAUCUAACCGUGUGCGUGUGUGUGUUUUCUUUCGGUUUCCGAAAAAAAAAAAAAAACAAAGUACAGCCCCUAGGAGGGAGAAUAAUCAGAUGAUCUUCAAAAAAUUCACAAACCAGGAAAAAAGAAAAAAGAAAAAAAAUCCAGGUGAUUCACCUAAGGAAGAAGCCAUAAGACGCUGUGAUUCAUUCCCAUCCAAAGGAUUGUGUCUUGAUGCGUGCAGACAACAGCAUCAACUUUUUCAAAAAUGAUUUUCUUAACAUAACAACCCAAAAUAUGAGCCGGAUAAAAUUUUUUAAAAAAAAAAACCGUUCUUCAAGAAAAACAUAACCCAUAUGACAUAUGAGAAAAAAUCACAGAAAUUAUAACCUUGAAGUUACCUACUCAGUAUUGUGAGAAAGGCCAACAAAUGUGCAUCAACGUUGGUAUUAUCGACUUUUCUUUUUGUUUUAAUCGAAGACUAUUACGAGGUCGUACUUUGCCCUGCAGUUUAUCUUCUGUUUCUAAAUAAAAGUAUGAUAACCCUCGUGACCAAAUUUUCAGAAGGCGAUUGACUUUAAGAUCCAGUUCCACAAGCGAGCAGAGAAAAAUUAAAUAAAAUAAAAUUCACAAUUCUGAAUUGUCCAUUUGCUCAAGUCACUCCACUACGUACAUGCACAUCUUGGACACUAUCAAUGCGAUCACUCAAAAACUCUGGCAUAAUUUACAACGCAUUUUGGCAUGGUGCCUUGGUAAUGUGACAAUUCCAAUUUCACCAACAUCUCCAGUUCUGUUUUUCAGAAGCAGCAUAUCGGAACUCAAGGAGCUUUAAGGAAUUUUAAUCAGUUGCCUUAUUGGCAUCACGCUCACAGAAUUGCCUGUAUCAGUUAAACAGUACAUUUUCAUGAGGCCACGAAGGAAAAUACAAUUUUGUUCCUAGACUUUUGUUCCUAGACUAGCAUGAAAGCCCAAUUCAUUUUGAUCUAUUACCUCAGUUUAACCAACUUUCUUCGCCAAGUCCAUUAAUAUUGCUCAUCCCACAAAUUCACAGCUCAUAUUUGCUGGGGUACAGAAGCAUCAUACUUGCAAUCCACUUCAACAGAAUAAAAUACUGAUCAACCUUGAGUCAAUUAAAAUAAUGAAGAAACCCAGAUCAAGCCAUUUUCGGGUAUAAGCCUGACAGCCCAAGAAAAUAUCUGCAGAAGGACAAAGGCAAGCAUCCAACAAGAAAUACAUAAGCUCCCUAUAAAAAGGCGAGAGAGUUGCAAUGCAAUCUGUCACAAAGCCUCAAGAAGAGAGAGCUAAUUCUACUCAAUAAAAUGUCUUUGGAUGUUGCUGCCGAUGUUACCUCAGAUAACUCACUCUCGUUUGCAGGCAUGGUAUGCAUUCAGAACCAGAAUUUAAUGCCUCAAGAGGAGCCCGUCCACCAACUAGCUCAUGCUGACACAGCUUCGACUGAAUUUGAAUUUGGGCACGCUACUCCUCGAAAAAGUUACUCUGCCGAUAUUUCAAGUGGCCAGCUCCUUAAACAAGUGAUUGCACUCCCUCCCAAUCAAUCUCAAACAGGCAAACUAACCUGCUCCAAGACAGUCAUGUGGCAAGAUCAGAUCAACAAUGGGAGAUCAGAUGCAAAAGAAUCAAGUCGAGACAGAUGCACUGGAAAAUCAAAUACUAGAGUUAAAAUUGCAGCAGAAAAGAAGUGGACCAACUCCGGGUUUAGUCAGAAAAUUUUUAAUUCAUUUGCAUGCAGAGAUUGCCGUGUGAUUGAAACCGACAAACUUCAUUAAACAACAAGCAUUCCAAUGAAUAGGCAAAUACAUUUCCAGCAAAAUUUCAUUCCAAUAUGUCGACAUUAAACAACAAGCACUCCAAUGAAUAGGCAACAUACAUUUCCAGCAAAAUUUCAUUCCAAUAUGUCGACAUUGCAUCUUUCCAUGGUUCAUUUCACUCUUGAAUUGCUCUAUGUUAUCAAAUUUUAUCUGUGACUGCUGUAUCUCAUUUCAAGCUUAAAACAGGAACUCAAUUUCCCAAAGAGCAAAAUACUUGGAAGAACUAAGAUUCCUCAUUUCUUGAGAAGCAAUUCAGCACACCUCUUCUUAUAACCAAGCAUGUACAUUGUAAACAAUCAGCAUGGCAUACGCAUUAAUGUUCAAUCAGAUCUCAUUUGCUCAAACAUCAAAAAAAAAUUGCAGAACGAAUAAGUAAAAAUGCAUCAUAUAAUUGUGAGAAAUAACAAAAUGUGAAUGCUGAACAGGUAAAUAGAUACUCCUAGACAUUAAUUAUGUUUCUAAUGAUUAUAAGCUCACUUCUGAGUCCAAUUUUCAAGUAAUUUAAAUUUCAUGCAUCAGGUCUCAGCGACAGGAGAAACAACACAAGGCAGGUAAAAGGAACAAACCUGCUGACGUUGUAGUAUCCGUGAAAUAUGUAGCACUUUGCACUAUCAUAUUGUCUAUAAGUUGCCAAAUGACCUCACCAUUCAACAAUAUAAGCACCUAAAUUUUGUCUGCUGCUUUCUCCUUGUUCUAUCCAGUACUUAGAACAGUUGUUAUUUCUGCACAUGUUUGGUUUGCUGAAGUGUUGAUAGGACUUUCUUGCAAAAAAAAAAAAAAAACUUUUGUGCAUUUGCACCUUGCAAAAUCUUAAGCUUUUACCUGAGAGAUAUUUUUCUUUUCAAUUAAUUAAGUGCCAACCUCUUUCUACAAAAUUAAACCAACGCAUGAAGGAAGGUUAAUUGUUUUACAUAUCCAUUGCCUUGAUUUCACAGAAAAUACUAACUGAAGCUUUCAGAUUACUGCUUUCAAGUAUAGCAUCUUAAGUAGUAACCUAAUUCAGUAGAGAGUGACCAGAUGCAGAAAAAUUUGGACUACUCUGCCAAAGCAUAGCAAUUAAUGGUAAAAAUGGAUGUGGCUAUUGCAUUAUCAUCUUAAAGCUCGUGAUCCAGGAUAUGUUCAAUCAGAAACUCUCCUUUUGUUAGCAGUUUGAGACUGUUUUGGCACUGUGAAUAGUACCAUAUAAAGGAUGCACAUAAACUACAAUUAGGGACUAAAGAAAAAGCAGAAGCCAAGAAAAGCAAAGGUAGAGAUGAAAAGAUGGUAAUACCCAACAAAACUAAAUUCCUCAUAAAUAAACAGUUUAAGAGGCCAUCUAGUCACAAAAACACUUAAAUUCUAUUUUGAAGGGAAUUAGGAUAACUACUUUAAAGUUCAAAAAUAAAUAACUGUCAAAAUGAUUAAACAACUAAAACUUGACACAAUAACCACACUUGCGAUUUUUCCCACCUUGAUUAACAUGAAGACAAUCAAAACACUUGCCCUCAAAUCUCAAACUAAUGAACCUUAGUUAAACUAGCAAGAAUUAGCAAUAACCAAAACACACUGAAGAAUUCAUAGAUCAACACAUACGACUCCCCUUGACCUAAAUGGAUUCACAAUAAAUCAAUAUUAAAUGUAAGCGAGUCAAAAAACUCUUGUCAACUAAUGUCAAACUUGAAUUUUCAUAAAUAAUAUGCACUUUUGACUGUGGCAAACAACAAAAAGCAUAUAAUAUACCAUACACGCUAUAUGUUUCACAACAAACAUGCAGGAACCAGAGGAAUAAUUUCCAUCCAUCCCUGUCCUCGUCCCUCCAACCCUGAGGUUGCACCCCACAUGGAUGGGUGCCCUCCCCAUUGCAUUCCCAGUUCUGUGCUUAUGUAAUUGGAGCUCAACCAGCAUAUAUUACAAGCGGGCAUGGGCAAGCAAAUGGUCAUGACCCAUAGAUCAAACCAUGAGAUGAGGUCUAGAGUCAAAGAACAACAGAAUAUCCACACUUGCAUAGUAUAACUGGAUAGCAUACAUAUUUAACAUAGACCAUAGGAAUGUUUUUUGUUUAGUAUGGAGCAUAUAUAUUUACCAUUCGAUUCAAAGUAUAUACAAUAGCGUAGUGCUAAUUGCAGCCCAUAAAGUGUGUCAUAACUCAUUGAAUAAGUAACUUCAGCACCAAUGAUCACAAACCUAUGGAUCAGGCACAGGUGAUGAACCAAGCAUUGUGAGAGAGCUAUUCAAAGCACAACAUACUGAGUAGGCGUAGAAUCAAAUUUGUACUACAUAAUAUCAAAAUCUACUAGCUUCAAAAUGCUUGUGUUCCUAUACAAGGUUGCUAACUACUUUGAGGGAAUAAAUGCUACAACUAUUGAGGACAAGACCAAAAGGCACAGAACAGCUGAUCCUAUAUUACUCAGGCAAAUCAGUCGAAGCAUAAGCACAUAUAUAGCAUCCCUUGCUCUUCUUGAAAUUACAGCAAGUUUCACCCAUCAGUUAACACUAACACGCAUGAAGUCAUGGAUACUAAGCAACUCACCAGUACACCAUACGCAAUUCAUUUACCAACACAUGUUUGAUGGCAAGCUUGCUGAAAGUCACCAGUCUUCCACCUUUAGGGAGCUAAAUUUCAACAAACAUACUUUGAAAGGCACCAAACAUACAAAAUAUUUCACAAAGCCAUUCCAAGCAAUCCAAGUUGAUGCACAAUUGAGAAAAUGCAAAUUUAAGGUAGUGUAGCACUAGUAUGUAAUAAGACGUGCUCUAAACAAUUAACAGAAUAUGAGUAAUGAUUUCCAUAUCAUCUACAUUAGCAAUAGAAAAUGUCAUAUCCUCAGAUGAUAUUGCACAGAAGUUCAUUACCAUAUCAUUUCUCAUUCCAUGACUGUGUUUAAGAAUUUAAGCAUUUUCAAAUUGCUAUCCGAAAAAAUGGCAAUAGAAACUGAAAAUGGUUAACAGAUAAACCAUCAAAGAUUUGUCAAAAAUCAAAUUCUCGAUACUGAACAUCCCAGGCAAAAUGAUAAGCUUACUUCUGCGAUUUCCUGUCUGUAUAUAUGUACACAUGAUAAGCCCAACAAACAAAUAUCUAAAUGCCCAGUUAUUUAAUGUUGAGGAGCCUCAUAAAUCAAGUAAAUUUAUUGAAAGAACAAUAGAAGAGGAAAAACUGAAACAAGUAAAAUCUGACAUAAUCCACUUAAAUAAAAUAGAAUAAAACUUAUUGAAUCCCAAAGAGAGGUACAUUCAGUAGCCAAAAAAAGGGGGAAGCACUCUUACCAAAUAUAGGUUCAUUCAGUAAAGUGAUCUCCCACCAGCCGAUGCACCUCCUUUGCAGGAAAAAAGCAAACUCUCAAGUGCUCUAGAUCGACAACUCGCAGAUCUGCAAGGAAAUAUAGGACAGAGCUCAUCCAUGCCUAGGUACAUAACAGUUUCAAGAGCCUACACUUACACCAAAUUUGUGAUGGCAUUUAUGUUAAGAAUGAUGCCAAAAUUAUCUUCAGUUUAACUUCGAGGCUGUAAACAAUAGGGGACAACCAUGACCAAUGAGGAUAUAAGAGUCAAUUUAUCAGUAUUGAUGUUGACAUAGGAGCCCAUAUGGCUCACAGGUAAGGUACCUGAUAUUUUUGAAAGUUCAAGGAAGGUCAGUGGAACUGUAAGAAACCUCUCCACUGACAUUAUUCGUUUAGUAAAUGUAAAUUCGUUUACCAAAGGUUCACUUAGUAAAGCCUUCAUACUGCAGAUUUAGGUUGCGUAAAUGAAAAAGUAGCAAAAGCAUACAAUAACUGAGUCAGUGCUAGGAGACAAUCUUAGCAACUUUGGUCACGUCUACCAAAGGUGUAAUAGAUACUGUUACUUAUUUUUUCAUACUUUCUGGUGUGCAGUAAAUAAAAAAGUAGUUGUUGCCAUAUAACUACAAUCUACAAAGAUGUAAAACAACUUGCAUCAAGCAUCCAGAUAAUGAGAAACCUUAUUAUCAAGAAUUUCAGGUUCACAAUUCGGUCCAAGCUGUUGGAUUAGAAAACAAUAACUAAGAAAAGAUGUACCAACGACAACUACUUGAAUGUACAAGGAGAACAAGUUUGUCCAUGAAAACAUGUCUGAUUAUGACCUCCAUUUUACAGCUCUUAUCCAGCUGUUAAAAUUUUGACAAAAAGAAAGCCUCCAAACAAAGAGUUCACCAACAUCCAUA
rnacentral:lncRNA from 1 species